AAAAGCGUGGGUGACCAUUAGGCCACAUAAGUUGAGCAAAGCUUUUAACAGAGUCAUAGUUGGAGGCAUCUGCGUCUUCGAAGCCUUCAUACAACACAGAAACCUGCUCGCUUGGUCCAACCCAACCAUGGCAAGGUAAGGGACUAGUGUUCUUCUGUUUCCUCUCCACUGGGACCUCAACUAGUUCUUUCAGCAAUUCAAAUGCAUCCUCUCGGAUUUUUGUUGAUAUAUUUUUGUACACCACAUCGAAACAACCGAAAGUCUCACAAGCCUCUCGAACCCUCUUGCACAAACGGUUCCACCCUUCGGUUCCUCGCUUCAAAUCCGAUGAACGGAACUCAAUGGUUGGGAACUCAAUUUCAGCAUCAACAGCCAUGUUCUUAACUUUCUUUUCUGCUCUAAGGAAAUGUUUUCUUAAACUAAAUCAGCUUGUAAGCUAAAUUGGUUUCCCUUUGUGUAGGGAUUUAUGUCUAUUUAUAGUGGUUUUUUUUUUCUCAAAGGUGGCGGGGCGUAGUGAAACACUUCAUUUAACUUCCCAAUUUUUUAAUUCGCUUAUCCAAGCAAAUCCCAGGAUGCGCCACCAGUCAAAAAGACUGUAUAUGCUACUUACUAUAAGACGAGUUUGAAUUUUAAUUUCAUCAAUUAAAAAAUAUUUAUCUAAUAUUUUUAAUCUAUGUUUUGAUUUUUUUUUUCGCAUCUUAAUUUUCUUAUUGUUAGAUACUAUACUAAACACAUGAAUACAUUGAUAGAGAAGAAGAUGAAUUUACAGAGUAAUUUGAUUAUUAUUCCUUAUCUGUUUAAAUCAAUACAUUGAUGAUGUUUAAAUACUCAUAUGAGAGUAACUGCUCGUAACCAACUACAUAUCAUACUAAUUAACAGAGUGAUAAUAGACUAACAAUCUUAACAAUCUUUAUACUAAUAUUCUCUCUUAACAUUCACCCAACUUCUCAAUGGGUAAGACCUGAAAUAAACUUCAAAAUCAAGCAAAAGUAGAGACAGAUAAUGGUUUAGUGAAAAUAUCUGCAACCUGGUCGUAGGCUGGCACUUCACCGACAACGAGAGAUCCAUUAGCCACAUUUUUGCAGAUAAAAAAUAAGUCAAGUUCGACAUGUUUGAAUUUCGAGUGUAAGACCGAAUUAGCUGCAAUAGCUACUGCAUUGGAAUUAUCACACCAAACCAUAGGAGGAUUGUAACACUCCUAACCUGUAUCUAUCGCCAAAAUGGGGUUACGAGGUAUUACAGAACAAGACACAAAAUUUCGAACAUUUACAUAUACACAUAUGUUACAUUCACAUAACUAAAACAUAAAUCUGUUUAAACAUUAAACACAUAAUUUAAAUCAUAAUACAAAUAUCAAUGAAAACUCAAAGUCAUAUAUAAUAGACUUUUAAAUACAUACAAAAUUUAUGUAUUAUUAUCAUUAAAGAAACCUAAUACCUCAAAAAAUUUCAACAUUUAAUAUCUCAAUGAUAUACAUGUGCUUAAUAACCAAACAUAUCAUAUAACAAACUUUAUUUAAUAAUAAUAUAUGCAGCAUUGGCUUUUUGAAAACAUAAUCAAUAUACAUUCGUAUAUUAUACCAUAUCACCUUAUAUCAUGGCAUAAUAUUCAUUAUCAUAAAAGAUAAUAGCUAGCUUUACAACAUGGCCAAAUAUACUUCUUUUACAUUGCAAAUUCAUGCGCAUAUUACUAUAUUAAUAUGGACCAUUUUUUAACAUAAUUACCAAAUCAAAACAUACUAAAAUUUAUAUGCAUAAUACUAACCAUUCAAACAUCAUCUAUUCAGUCAUUAAUACACAUACAAAUGAAUCACACCAUUUCUAUAUGACUUAAUAAACCAAAUUUAUAAAUAUUAAUGCAAAAUCAAAACAUGCCGAUUUCACAUGUUAUACAUCAUACCAAAAUAUCAUAUACAAGACCAAUUCUUCUCUUAUCUAUUUGACUAGCACAAUUAACUUGUACACAUUCAUUAAUUGUCAAUUAACAAACGAAUCUAUAUAGCCUUUUCACAUACAAUACAUAUACUCAUUAUUUUACCUCUUACUAAGCCAAAUUAUAAAAUCAUACUUAACGUUUCUCAUUACCGAAACAUAUAACCAACACAUCAAACAUAUAUACCUUGAGAUUAUAUAUAUCAAACCAAUUCAUCAUAUGCCUAAAAUAUAUAUGCAAGUGCCGAAUCAUCAAUCAAAUAUAUUCAUUACCUAAAUUCAACAUACACUCGUCAACCAAAUUAAACCAUUACUAUCAAAUACAAGACAUAACCGAAUCAUUUUAACCAUGAGUAACAUAACAAGCAUAAUUCAUACUUAUGUAUAUACCAUGGCCGAUUCAAACAAACCACAUCCAAAAUCACCAACCAUUUUCAAGGCAUAUGAUACAUAUAAACUUAACUAAAAUUUUAAAUACUUACAUAACAUAUUAGCCAUUUUCGUAUGGCUUAAUAUAUAUACACAACUUCAAACUUAGAAAAAUAUAAUUUAGCCUAUACAUGUCAUAGGUUCAAGUUCAAACUUAUAAAGUACCGAAAACAGUUGAUAGUGUGAUAGACUUUGCUGACGAUCCUUGAGCUCGUAACUAGACUCCAAAAUCUAUAAAACAGAGGUAAACAUACACACAUAGUAAGCUAUCAUAGCUUAGUAAGUCAUAAGCAAAUAAAUAACUUAGUAACAUUUAUAAUUCAUUAUAACAAAAUCGAAUCAUUAUAUCAUAUUCAUAUACAUUUUCAAACUUGCAAAAAUGCAUUUAACAAACAUAUAACUAUGCAUCAAAUCUAAUCAAAUCGAAUACACAUAUAGUUAAUAUCAUAAUUACUUUUCACUUCUAAGAUCACAUAUAUACCCUUGGCCAAAUAUGCUCAUUCAUAUAUGAAUACACAUAAAUCAGAAUUACAAGGUCACAUAUACUAAACAUUUGGCCAAUUAUAGAUUUUCAUAUACACAUGUACUUUCAUUUGCAUCAUGAAUACACCAUUAAACCGAAUGUAUAUUUUCACAUAUGCGUACAUGUAGUUCACAUUAACAAGUAACAUUUCUAUCUUUAAUCCAAACAUCUAACUUACCAUAAUUUCAUAACUCAGUAUGAAUACAAACCUGAACCUUUUAACUCGAUUUUUCAUUCGAUCUUAACUUUUUAUUGCCCGUUGAACCAUUUGGAAUUGAAUAGGAUACUCAGAUAAUCAUGCAUAUUGUAUAAACAUGCAUGGCUUUUAAUUAUUUUAUGUUUUAUAUUAUAUAACAUUAUUAAUUAUUUUACAUAUAUAACCUUUAUUAAUUAAUAUAAAACCAUUAUAAAAUAAGGUCACAACCGUCCAUAUCAUAUUCUCAUUGUAAAAUUGCAUUGUAAAUACUUCAAACUAUAAAGACACAUUCAAUUCGGCCCUUACACUUUAAACCAUCAAAUUUUUAUUUUACGCGAUUAAGCCCUUUUAUUGAAUCGAGCACUCAAACGAUAAAAUUUUCGAAUGAAAUUUCCACACACAUAAUAAACACAUAAUAAACACAAAAAAUAAUUUUUAAAUAUUUUUCUAACUCGGAUUCGUGAUCCCGAAACCACCGUUCCGAAUAAAGUUUAAAUCGGGCUGUUACAACUCUCCCCCUUUAGAUAUUUUCGUCCCCGAAAAUCUUACUAGUGAAUAAGUUUGGAUAAUGUUCUUUCUUUGCAUCCUCUAGCUCCAACGUUGCCUCUUCAACUCCAUGUCUAUGCCACAAUACUUUCACUAAUUCAAUUUUCUUAUUUCACAAUUCUUUAACUUCAUGAACCAGAAUACGAAUCGGUUCUUCCUCAUAUGUCAUAUCAGACUUAAUCUCAAUCUCUGAUGGGUUAAUCACAUGUGAGGGAUCAUAUCAAUAUCUAUGAAGCAUCAAAACAUGGAAUACAUUAUGGAUAUUUUCUAACUCAGGUGGCAACAACAGUCUAUAAGAACGGGCCCGAUACACUCUAUAAUCUCAUACGGCCCAAUAAAUCUUGGACUAAAUUUGCCUUUACAAUCGAAUCUGAGUAUUUUCUUCCAUAGUGAAACUUUCAAAAAUAAUUUGUCCCCGAUCUGAAACUCUAUAUCUUUUCGUUUCAAGUCCAUAUACGAUUUCUGACGAUCUGACACUAUUUUUAGACUUUCACGAAUCACUUUCACUUUGUGUUUAGUCUCUCUAAUCAAAUCGACCCCAUGUAACUUAUUUUCACUAAGCUCAGUCCAAUACAAUGGUGUAUGACAUUUAUGACCAUACAAAGCCUCAUAAAUGCCAUUUUGAUACUCGAUUGAAAGCUAUUAUUGUACGCAAAUUCAAUCAGAGGUAAGUAUCGUUCCCACAUACCUUCAAACUCGAGAAUGCAACAUUUCAACAUAUCCUCAAGUAUUUGAAUGAUUCGUUCAGACUGACCAUUUAUUUGCGGAUGGAAAGCAGUGUUGAAAUGUAAUUUCGUACCUAGUGCAUCUUGCAGUUUCUUCCAAAACUGCAAUGUAAAUCUCAGAUCUCUAUCCGAAACAAUAGAAAUAGGUACUCCGUGUAAUCUCACAAUUUGAGAAACAUACAAUUCAACUAGCUUAUCAAGCGAGUAAUCUGUGCGAACUAGAACAAAAUGAACUGAUUUAGUCAAUCUAUCCAUAGUAACCUAGAUUGCAUUUUCUUACUCAGUGUUAAUGGCAAACCAGAUACAAAAUCCAUCGUGACUUUGUCCCACUUCCACUCACGUAUCAUGAUCGGCUGAAGCAAUCCAGAAGGUACCUGAUGCUCGACUUUUACUUGCUGACAGACUAAACAUUUCGAAACAAAGUCAGAAAUAUCUCGUUUCAUACCAUGCAACCAGUAAAACUGUUUCAGAUCAUUAUACAUUUUCGUACUACCCAGGUGAACAAAUAAUCAACUGUUGUGAGCUUCGUUCAAAAUCAUCUGAAUCAACUCUGGAUUUCACUGAACACAUAUUUGAUUUUUGAACCUCAAAUAACCCUCAGCAUCAACAUGAAACUCUGAAUCAACAUUCGAGUCACAUAGCCCGCUUUGUUAACAAAUCAUCAUCAACUUUCCAAGCAUCAAAAAUCUGUUGAAUAUGUAACGGUCUUGCUUUUAACAUAGCUAUAAUCGAACCAUCAACAGACAUAGCCAUAUCUGCAUUUAUUACACGCAAAGCAAACGGUGAUUUUCGGCUUAGAGCAUAGCAACAACAUUAGCCUUUCUCGGAUGGUAGUCAAUCACAAGCUCGUAGUCUUUUAACAGCUCUAACCAUCGACGCUGUCUCAAAUUCAGAUCUUUUUGAGUCAUCAGAUAUUUCAAGCUUUUGUGAUCAAAAUAAACAUGACAUUUCUCGCCGAACAGGUAGUGGCGCCACAUUUUCAAUGCAAACACAAUAGUUGCCAAUUCUAGAUUGUGCGUCGGAUAAUUCUCUUCAUCCGGUUUUAACUGUCUUGAGGCAUAAGCUACAACUUUGCCUUCCUACAUCAAAACACAGCCCAAACCAUUCAAAGAUGUAUCGCUAUAGAUAACAAAUUCUUUACCUAAUUCUGGCUGAACUAACACUGGGUUUCGGUUAAAAGGACUUUCAACUAAUCAAAACUUUUCUGACAUUUUUCUGACCACUCAAAGUUAAUAUCUUUCUUUAAUAGCUUCAUCAUCAGGGUUGCAAUCAUAGAGAAACCUUUCACGAACCGUCUAUAAUAACCAGCAAGUCCCAGAAAACUUUGAACUUCAGAAACAUUUCUCGGAGGUUUCCAAUCAAGUAUAGCCACAAUUUUACUCGGAUCAACUUGAAUACCCAAUGUUGAUACAACAUGUCCCAGAAAAUUGACUUCACUUAACCAGAACUCAUAUUUACUGAAUUUUGCAUACAACUGUUUAUCUCGCAAAGUCUGUAACACAAGUCUCAGAUGUUCGGCAUGCUCGGUUUUAAUCAUGGGAAUAGAUCAAAAUGUCAUCUAUGAACACAACCACAAGCCAAUCUAAAUACUGUCUAAAUAUUUGGUUCAUCAAAUCCAUGAAAAUAGCAAGUGCAUUAGUAAGUCUGAAAGGCAUAACCAGAAACUCAUAGUGUCCGUACCUCGUUCGGAAAGUAAUUUUCGGCACAUCAGAAUCUUUAACUCGUAAUUGAUAGUAGCUUGAUCUCAAAUCUAUCUUUGAAAACACUGUAGCCAUUUUCAGUUGAUCGAAUAGGUCGUCAAUCAGUGGCAACGGAUAUUUAUUCUUUAUAGUCACCUUAUUGAGCUGUCUAUAGUCGAUACACAUUCUCAUAGUUCCGUCUUUCUUUUUCACAAAUAAAACUGGUACACCCUAGGGAAAGAAACUCGAUCACGCGAACCCUCUUUCUGUCAACUCUUGCAACUAAGCUUUCAAUUUUUUUAAUUCAGUAGGUGUCAUUCUGUACGGAGCUAUCGAUAUCGGAGUCAUCCCCAGCACUAACUCAAUACCAAACUCUACUUCUCGAAUAGGUGGCAAACCCAACAAUUCUUCAAGAAAUACAUUCGGAUACUCGCACACAACUGGUACUAAUUCGAUCUUUCUUUCGGUCACUUUACUAUCAAGCACAUACGCAAAGUAAGCUUCACAACCCUUUAUCACAUACUUCUGAGCUAACAUUGAAGAUAUCACUGCCGAUAAACCAUUCAGAUCAUUAGAUUCAAUCCGAAUAAUCUCAUCAUUCUGGCACCGUAAAUCAAUACUCUUUCUUUUGCAGUUUACGGUAGUAUCAUGCAAAGUCAACUAACUCAUACCCAAAAUUAUAUCAAACUCAUCAAAUGGCAAAAACAUCAAAUCAGUCGAAAAACACGAAUCUUGAAUCAUCAAAGAACAAUUCUUACACACUUUGUUAACCAGAACACACCAGCCCAAGAGGUUCGAUACUCUAAUCACAAACUCAGUAGACUCAACAGGCAAAGUUUUACUGGAUACUAAGGUCUCACACAUAUAAGAAUGAGUCGAACCAGGAUCAAUCAAUGCAAUUACACUGGUAUCAUAAAGAGUGAAUGUACCAGUAAUAACAUCGGGGGAUAAAACCUCCUCGCGAGCUCGAAUGGCAUAAGCUUGGCAGGUGUGCGAGCCUCAGAUCGAACUGAUGUGUCUUUAGUUCCUCUCUGACUGCUACUUACAUUACCAGUAUUUCUAGGCGGUCUACCUCGAGCUGACAUAUUACUCGGUCUCGGUCUCGGUCUCGCAUUUUGUACUAUGUUCUGUUUAGCUAACUUAGGGCAUUCACGAACGAAAUGAUCCAUUGAUCCACAUUUAAAAAAGGUCCGAUCAUGCAAUCUACAACUAUUGGGAUGUCGUUUACCGUAAUGUUUGCACUCAAGUUGGUUCAAUCAAAUAUUACCAACACUAGCUACUGAGGUAGCUCUCGAGCUCACAGGUGGUCUAUCUCGAUCUUGUCUAGUAUAACCCGUAGUAGCUUUUGAACAGCUAGAAUCAUCUCAGAAUCUCUUUGAUGCCGACUGAAAUGACUUACUCAAUGGUCUCUUACAUGAAUCUCUAGCUUCGAAGUCAGCUUUUCUUUUCUCUUUCCCAAGCUCUUUGACUUUGCAUGCUCACUUAACCAGCACUACGAACUCUGUUAUUUUCAGAAUGCCAACUAGCAGUUUAAUGUCUUCGUUCAACCCAUCUUCGAAUCUUUUACAUGUUAUAGCUUUGGUCGAAACACACUCUCGGGCAUAUCGACAGAGUCUUACGAAUUUUCGCUCAUAUUCUGCCACGGUCAUACGACCCUAUUUCAACUCCAGAAAUUCUUUACGUUUCUGGUCGAUAAAUCUCUGGCUGAUGUAUUUCUUAUGGAACUCAGUCAGAAAGAAUUCCCAGGUCACCCGCUCUUCCAGAACCAUCAAUACUAAUGUAUUCCACCAGUGAUAUGCGGUGUCUCGUAGCAAAGAUAUGGCACAUUUUAGACACUCAUCAAGGGUACAAAAUAGCUUAUCAAACACGCAAAUAGUAUUAUCAAGCCAGAAUUCAGCUCACUUAGCAACAUCAUCAUCAGUAUCUCUAAAUAUCUCAACCCCAUGUUUUCUGAUUUUAUCAAUAUGAGGCUUAUGUAAUCUCAACGGAUCACUCACUUGAGGUAUAACAGGUAUCGAAAAAGGAUUGUUCGGGGGUGGAGGUUGUUGUGCAGCUGGAUUUGUCUGAAUAUACUGAGUAAACCAAUCAUUCAUCAUUUGAUAAAAGGCUUGUUUAGCCUCUCCCUCUUGGUUACUUGAAGUCGGUCGAGAAUCAACCGGCGCUGUCCCUGCACUGGAGCAGGCGCUAUACUCUCGACAUCAUCAACAACGGCUCUAUCGGGAUCUAUUUGCUAUACAAAAACACAUUUUCAAAUGUCAGAAGUCAUCACACUAUCACAGUAUAUAAUAUGACAUGUAUAGCUAGACUCACACACGCUACGUUAGUCCUAGAAUUGACUAAUUGAGUUCAUACUGAUUCAUUAGUCAACCGAUCCAAUUCCUUAUUCUAUACUAACACCCCGAUUUUAAAGAAAUUAGAGGUGUCUAAAGAUCAAGCUAGGACGACAAUGACCUUAACUUAAAGAAAAUUUAAAGCCUCUCACACUUCACUUAAAUAGUUUGAUUUACUAUUUAAAAAUAAUAAAAUAUUAAAAAUAUUUUUAUAUCAAAUUUUAUAUACUUUUAUAAUUAAAAUUUAAAAUUAUUUAAUUUAAAUAUAGGCCUGUUUGAGGAUAAAAAUUGUUACCCAACUUGUCUCGAGUCAAGCCCUAACAAGCCAAAUGGACUUGCUUAAUCGAUUUUUUUAUAUGGUUUUUUAAUUUUUAUGGUUUUUGAAAUUUCUCCAAUUGAACCGGAUAAACCAAUCAGGCUGGUCAAAUAAAAAACUAGUGAUCUAAUCAAUUGAGCCAGCAAUAUGAUUUUGAAAACCUUGAUGCACUCCCUUUGCUAGUACGGUAUUGAAAGGCGAGAAUUUGAAAUCAAAGAUAGGUAAACUAUCCAAUUGGUCACCAACUUUUAGGGUGUUUUCAUUUUGGUCAUCCAAAAAAAUUCUUGCAAUUUCGUCACCCAACUUUUAGGGAGCUUCAUUUUAGUCACCCAAGUAUUAAAUCCUUAACGGUGGCUAACUGUACUGAUGUCCACUAAACUAAUUAAUAAAUUGACCAAGGCAAGUGCACCUAUCAAUUAAUAGUAUAGCUAUGGUGAGCACAUAUAUCAUUCUUUCGAGGAUUACAAUUACUAGUAAUUAUCACCUUUCUAUUAUUUAACUCAAUAAUUGAAAGGAUUGAUUGAAAUUAAAUUAAACUAUUUAAGUUAACUAAUGAAUGCACAAAAGAAUGAAACACAAAAACAAUCAAGUAUUAACCAAGUGACAAAACAAUACAUAGGUAAGAAUCCACCUAGAUUUCAUCUAUAAUUCUCAAUCUAAUUUAUGCAAUUUAUUUGCUAGUUAUUUGAUCCGUAAAAAUCCCUAAUUUAUGCUAAUAUAUCUUUCGAACAAAAGAACAACUAAUUCUAGGUUGAUUAAUUGAAAUUUCUUUCCAAUUAAAACCCUUAUUAUUGAUUUAGUUCACUCUAUGGGUCCCCUUAUUAGAUUUUACUCUAAUCAAGUAGAUUUAUGUUGUCUUAUUUCUAGGAUUGCAUGCAACUCCAUUCAAUUAUACAAGAUCUAAUCACAAAGGUCUAUUCAAGCUCAUACUUCUGCACAUCAAACAUGAAUUGACACUUUAGAAUUAUUAACACAAAAAUAAUAAAACACUCAUAAUUGAAAACAAAGAGACUAAGAUUUUAUUGCAUAAAGAUAGAAAUCAAACAAUAGAAUUUAUCCUAGAGUAAUUUCCCCGAGGUAUUAAAAGAUUUAGUUCAUAAUGGCAAGAGUGAACACCAAAAAUACAAUAUAACCACUAGAAUAAAAGAAAUCCAUGAUAACUCUCUUCAAAGAGAUUAAGAUUUUAUUGCAUAAAGAUAAAAGAAAUCCAUGAAUCUUGGUGGAAAAUUGCUUGGAAAUUGGCUUAAAUGGUGUUUUCAAGAUAAUUUUGUGCUCUUCCUUAGUGGCUACCUUCUUCCCUUCUUAUUUCCCUAUUUAUAUCCUCUUAAAGUGCUAAAAAAACUAUAAAUUGUAACUUGUAACCUUCAGACCACACAUGUGGAUUGUUUGUGUGAAAAUAUGUUUCAUGUGCACAACUUUUGGAAUGCUCCAAAGUUCUAAUUUCCGCCCUUUUUUCACUUCUAUUGCUCUUAAACGCCUUGUUAAGCAUCAAAAUAUGAAUAUAACUGAUUUUUAUUGAUUUAGACUAGUUUUUAGGGAUUUUGAGUCUGUUGUAACAUUUUUUUAUAGUUUAACUGAUUUAACUAGCUUGCAGUUCACUUUGACUUAUGGGUUAACAGGUUUUUCACCUUAUUCUGGACUAGUGUACCCGUCAGCUUUCGAUUCAAUCGGUCCAACAUGUUAAUUUAGUCCAAUUUUAACAACAUUGAAUUUAUUCUUUCAUUUUUCCAAUGAAAAUCAUAAAAUAUGAAAAAUUUAUAAAAAUAUAUGAAAUAUUAAAAAAUUUAGAUAAACCUAUAAAAAUUAUAAAAAUAUAAAAGCUAAUAAAACUUAUAAAUAUUAUAAAAACAUAUAAAAUCCUAAAAAGUUAUAAUAAAUUGUAAAAAAAAUAUAGAAGUACCUAAAAUAUUAAAAAAAUAUAUAAAAUUAGAAAAAAAAUCCUAAAAAUCAAUAAAUUUUAUAAUAAUUCACUGCAAGAGCUAUAAGAAUCGAACCCAAUUAUAUAAUUAAAUAAUUAUGGGAUGAAGAAAACUAUCACUGUCAAGUAGGCUAUGCAUUGCCCUUUGCUAUUACGGCACUGAAGGUCUAGAAUCGAAAAUAAUGUUUAUUUAUUAUCACACAAAAUUAAGAGACAACGUGCACUCCUCUGCUACCACGACAUUGCAGGACUAGCAUAUGAAAUCAAAGGUGGAUUCGGAAAAAGUCGGUGUCUGUCAUGUGGUUCUUUCGUCAUUUUAAGGAUGGAGAUAAUUUUGUGGUAAUGAUAUGAACAUAUUUUCUUCUAGAUACUGUGUGGAAAUAAGUGUUAAGAGAGAAUAUUAGUAUAAAGAUUGUUAAGAUUGUUAGUCUGUUAUCAGUCUGUUAAUUACUUUGAUAUGUAGUUGGUUAGGAGCAGUUACUCUCAAAUGAGUAUAUAAACAUCAUCAAUGUAUUGAUUCAAACAGAUAAGGAAUAAUAAUCAAAUUACUCUGUAAAUUCAUCAUCUUCUCUAUCAAUGUAUUCAUGUGUUUAGUAUAGUAUCUAACAUGGUAUCAGUCGCCUAACCUCCUGGUGCCUUCGUCCGCUGCCAUUUCAUGGCUAAUUCACAAGAUUCCACUUCCAUUGAUCAUUCUAGUCCGUCUUUUUCCAGGUUGCGGUUGAUCCAAGCUUUUCCUCGUCACGACGCAGCGAAAUUAGAUGAAAAGAAUUUUGUGCAAUGGCAACAACAUAUCAGAUUGAUCACAGAAGGACAUGAGCUGCAAGGUCUUUUAGAAGGUACAUUACCUGCUCCGCCUAGAUUUGUGGCGUCUCCAGAUGAUUUUCUAACUCCAAAUCCCGAUGCUUCCGUAUUUCUUCAACAAGAUAAGCUUCUAGCCUCUUGGUUACUCUACUAUUAGUGCAUCUUUGUUGUCUUAUUUUACAGCUACUAAAAUGGCGUGUGACGUCUGGAGCAUUGCAAAUUGGUUGUUUGCUGCCUCCACCGGUGCUAAAAUCUCACGAAUCAAGCAUGAAUUGCAGUCUCUCAAGAAAGGUGAGUUAACUGUUACCGAAUACAUAGCCAAGGUUCAGAAUACUUGUGCUCUGCUUGAGGCUUCUGGAUCUAUUGUUUCGGAGGCCGAAAAGGUAGAAGUGAUUCUCGCUGGUCUUUCGUCGGAGUUUGAUGCGGUGUUGACUCUCGCAUCAUUCUCGUCGGAGACGCUCUCGUUUCAGAAAUUGGUUGAUGUGCUAUUGGAGUUUGUGAGCCGCCAAACACGAGCGGUGCAAGACAUACCGAUGCAUGCGAAUUUGGUUGAAGCUCCUUCGGCUAUGGCGGUGACCGAGUUUGAUCUACGUGGUGUGCGUGGUGGUCGCUCAUCUUCUGGCUCGUUUGAGCGUGGCUUUCGUCCUCAGAUGCAGUGCCAGAUAUGCGGCCGAUACGGUCAUCUCGCGCAACGCUGUUUCUAUCGGUUCAACCACGACUACGGCGGUUUGAGCGAUCCAACCACAGCGCGAUUUCCUUCUACUCAUACUGGCCAAGGGCUGCUCGGUGAUUUUUCUGGCCGAUCGGCUACCUUCAGUGGACCUGGGCAGCAUGCGGAGAUCGCUCCGACGCAUUAUCCUGGUGGCCUUUCAUGGGGAGGAUGGCCACCAUCUUCAACAUUUGGCUCUCACCUUUCGUAUUAUAGGGUUCCUCAUUCUUUUUUGUUUCCUAAAUCUGAUGGAGUGGGUUAUGUGGCUGAUGCUAUUGUUGGGUCUAACGGUGGCCCACAUGUGUCAUAUGGCCCGUAUGUCAGACCACAAAUUAGGCGUGAAUUUGGGAGUUAUUUUGGCUAUGUAUUUGGGUGCGGUUUGGGGUACACUUUUGGGCGUGACGUGGGCCAGCAACACUUUGGGCUUUCUGCUGGGGUACCCAGGCCUAAUACUCCAUGCCAAAAUUUUGGGCUGUCUGGUCCUAGUGGACAGCAUAGUGGGCAGGCCAAUGCCAGUCCAAAUUUUGGACAAUAUUCCUUUUAGCCUAAUGCCAAUUAUGUAGGCCUUGAUAGCUCUAUGUGAAAUAAUGGUCCCGAAGUUCCGUGGCGGACUAAACCACGUGCCCGAGUGUUUGAUUUUGACUCCUCACAGUGUGUUAGGCUGCCUCGAAUUCUUGACUUUUAUGCAUCUGACUUUUUGGCUACCACAUAGUAUGACUCUAACUUUGAUAAUACCGAUUCAGAUGUUCCUGUGUCUGUAGGAACCUCAUCUUGGUAUCCAGAUUCAGGGGCUACUCAUCAUAUCUGUCAGAAUGCUUCUGGUUUAAAUGAGUCCACUCCAUAUUCAGGUACUUCUUCUCUUUUAAUGGGAAAUGGGACUCCUGCUAAAAUCUCGUCUAUUGGAAAUACAGUUCUGCCUACAAAGAAUAAGUUAUUACAUCUAUCUAAUGUUUUGUGCGUGCCAAGCAUCCGAAAAAAAUCUUAUGUUUGUUUUUCAGUUUGCUACUAACAAUAAUGUAUUUUUUGAAUUCCAUCCAUCUUAUUGUGUUAUUAAGGAUAUCCAAACACAGAAAACUUUGCUGUGGGGCCAAGUUCGUGAUGGUCCCUAUCAGUUUUCGGCCGGUCCGUCAGUUCCAUCCGAUUCCAAUCCUGUUAUUCACAAUACCGGGAUUCAAGAUUGUUCAUCAAAAGAUGAUAUUUUUACUCUGUGGCAUAAAAGACUCGAUCAUCCUUCUACUACAGUUGUUAAACUUGUUCUUGAUAAGUGUCAAAUUGCUUCAAAUAAAAAAUGUCUUGAUAAUGUUUGUAUUGCCUGUUAAAAAGGAAAAUCACAUAAAUUUCCCUUUUCACAGUCUACUAUCGAAUAUAUGGAAUUGUUUGAAUUGGUUGUUUCUAAUUUGUGGGGACCGAUUCCUGUUGCCUGUGUGGGCAAUCUGUAUUACGUUUCGUUUGUAGACAUGUGUAGUCAGUUUACCUGAUUUUAUUUGAUUAAAAAUAAGUCUCAAAUAGUUGAAUGUUUUCUUUAAUUUCUGAAGAUGGUCGUCACACAGUUUGGAAAGAAUAUUAAAAAAUUUCAAAGUAAUUGGGCUAGUCAUGGGAUUCUUCAUCGUCUUUCCUGUCUACAUACUUCUGAACAAAAUGGGGUUGCUGAAUGUAAACACAGGCACAGUAUGGAAACUGAUAUUACACUUUUGGCCCAGGCCAAUCUACCUAUGGAUUACUGGGGAUAUGCAUUCUGCAGUGCUAUUCACCUUAUCAAUCGUCUGCCCACUUCGGUCCUGAAAGGUUAGUCUCCGUAUCUGAAUCUUUAUGGUCGUGAACCUACAUAUGAUCGCUGUAAGACUCAAUUUGUGCCCGGGCCUAUACCAAAACUAAAACCAAAAAUAAAAUAAAACAACAAAAAUAAAUCCAAUGCCCCUUUUACAAACAUUGAGAUCCAAUACCCAUAAGCCCUAAAACUCGAGGCCCAAUACACCCAAAAUUCCCAGCAGCACUAGGAGUUUCUGGAACAUGCCAGACCUGCAUGGCCUUCUCCAUCGUACAGUAGUCCCGUGCUCCCAUAGAAGCUGCGAGAACAAAAAGAAUAACAGAAAUGCCAGCUAAAAAUAUGAUUUUCAUUUUUUUUCCUUUUUAUUUAUUUUGCAAGUUUGGCUAUAAAAGCCAUGGAUGUACUAUAAAUUGGGGAUUACGCACACUACGCAUAUUAAUCAAACAAAGGAAAUCAGUCAAAGUUCAAGGUGAUUUCCGAUUCGAGUUUCUUUAAGUUUUUUUUUCCUUUAUUUCUUUUUCAAUUUGUUUUUUAGAAUACAUCAUUAUUGCAUUUUGUUUUUAAAAAAAAUAAAGAAAAACAAAGGAAAGGAGCAAUACCGUGCGAGUACGCCAAGGAUCUUCUCUUUGCUUCGUUGGAAUUGAAGUUGAAGGAAGAUCAAUGCUGAAAUGGUUCUUCAAAGACUGCAAAGGCUACAAAGAAAAGUCAGCAGUUAAGGGACGAUUUGGGGGUUUGCUAAAAGCAAAGGGAAAGGAGAAAGGGGACGAUACCUUGUGAUUUGGCCAUCGGUUCACUCUUGCUUCGUUGAAAUUGAAGUUUAAGGGGAUCUUGAGGCUAAAAAACACCCUUCAAGGCUUGAAUGAACCGAUCGAUGUUCAUGGAGGUUGAUUGGAGUUUGAAUGAAGGGAUUUUGGGAACGGUUGAGGGAGAAACAAAGGGACUGGAGAUGAGGAUCGGCCAAAAGAGGAGAAAAGCAUGGGGAAAUAAAAAGGGGCUAGGAUUAUUUUAAAAGUGGCAGAUUGUUUUCUUUAUUUUUUAAAGGAAAUAUUUGGUUUUAUAAAAGUGAAGAAACAACACCGUUUCAAAAGGGAAAUGUUUGGUUAUUUGUUGUAGAUGGUCAAUUUCUCGAUUGGUCCCGUCCUUUCGCGUUAGCGCGCGAUCAAGCCUACUUCAGAUUUUUUUGUUUUUUAAUUUUGCCCGCAGAAUUUGUGUGCCAAUUCAAUUGGAUCCGCACUUAAGCAUUGCAUUUUGAUAUUCGGAUUAUUUACAUUUUCAAUCCUCGUACGUUCACACGCAUUGCAUUUUGACCCUUAUUUUUGUGUUUUAAUGAUCUAUUUUUAUUUAUUAAUUGCCCCCUUUCAAUUUGAUUUUAUCUCAAUUAAGUUUUAUUUCAAUUUGUAUCUUUCAUUACUAUUUUUUAAAAAAAAUUCACUUUAACAUUCAUCUCUUAAUUUUAUUUUUUUUAUAUGUACAUUUUGAAUUGUCUUAAUAAGUUUUUUUUUCCUCUUUUCAAUUUUUUUUUUUAAAAUUCCUUUUUAUAUUAUAUCAUUAUAACAUUUUGCAUAAUAUUUUAUACGUUAUUAUAUAAAUAAUUUUUUAUGAAGUUGAUUUUAUUCUGUGUAUAUUAUUAGUAUUAUGUUAUUUGAUACGUAUAAUUUCUUUUAGAUUUAUUCACAUAUUUUAUUAUAUAUCUUUAUUAUUUAAAGGAAAAAUCCCACAAAUUUAAUAUAUUAUUUAAGUUAUCAUUAAGCAUAUAUUUUUGGUAUUUAUAUUUAAUUUAAAUACAUUAUUAAAAUCAUGAUAUUUUUAAAUAUAUAGUUUUUUAAGUUUGUAGCUAAUUGUUUUUAUUAAAUGCAUAGUAUGUGAUGAAAUUAACUUAAUUUUACAAUUCAUAUUUUUAUUUCAUGAUAUUCUAACAUUUAGUUUUUUCUAAAAUAUAUGUAUAUAACCCAUAUUAAAUUAUUUUAUUAUAGUCUACAUUAUUGAUUUCAAAUUAAUAUUUCUUUUACGUGUAUAUAUAUAUAUAUUUUAAAUUAUUCAUGUGUAUAAUGCGUUUCUUUUAAGAACUAUAUUUUAAGUCGUACCAUUUAUUUAUUGUAUAUACUCUCAUGUUAUCCUUAUGUAUGCAUUAUUUAUGUGUUCCAUCAAUUCAAAUCGUUUUGCUACAUGUAAAAUUAUUUUAUAUAUUAUUUGUUUUAAAAUUUCCUUUAUAAAUAUAGUUUUAUAAAUAUACAUCACUAAAUUUAUAUAUUUUGUCAAUAUUAGUUUUAUCUUUUGUAUAUGAUCUUUUUUUUUCUCUUUUAAAAUUUUGUUAUAUAUAUAUAUAUAUUUUAUACAUUAUUAAUUUCGUUUUUUUACAAAUAAUUAUACCCAAUUUUUACUUGUAUAUAAAAGUUUCAUAAAUCUAUUUUGUAAAUGAAUUGUUAUUCCUUCAUAUUUAAUAUAUUAUUUAAAUUAUCUUGUGAAUUAUCUUGUGAAUUAUCAAUUUUUUGAAUAAAUUUGUGUUUUAAAUAUUUUGUGCAUGAUUUGAUUUGAACUUUGAAAUUUAUAAUAAUUAUUUCAAUAAACAUAUAUCCUAAGUUUUAUGCAAAUAUGUCAACUUAGAUAUACUAUAUGACCAUUAAUUCUUCGUUUUGUUUUAUACAUAUUUUUUUAUAAUCAUUUUAUUUUGUGUUAUGACCAUGUAUAUUAUUUUUUAUUAUUCAUUAUCCAUGCUUAAAGAAUUUUUUGUUAUAUUAUACCUAGAAUGAUUGUUAGACAUAUUAAACAAGGUUUAUUGUAUUUUUGAGUAUAUUAUUUCAUAUUUAUUGUUUUUUUAAUACAUUAAAUAUUUCAUCAAUUUUAAAAUGAAUAAACAUGUUUUUUAAGCAAAUUUCUGAAUUUUAAUUAUUUAAAGUUUUUGAAAUAAGGCAAUAUCUAAUAUUUGGGGAAUUCAGAAAAAUUGUGCUCAAUCGUACUGGGUAUGACUUUUCCGAUGAAUCAAAUAUUUAGAUAACCUUUUAUACUUUUAAUGUAUGAGUUUUUUUUUUAAAUUCGAAAAUCGAUUGUAUCUUAAAGGUAUAAGGGAUCGUAUCCAACCGUACUGGGUAUGAAACCGUAUAUCUUUGGAACGAGAGAUUUUUGAUAGCUAAUUUGAGCUAUUUAAACAUUUUUUAUCUACCUCGGAAAAUAUUUUCUUUUAAAACUUUUUAAGGACAGCAUCAAAUCAAUUUGAUACCAUUUUUUGGGUGUAAUGAGGGUGCUAACCCUUCCUCAUGCGUAACUGACUCCCGAACCCGUUUUCUAUUUUUUUACCUAAACCAAAUUUAUUUUUCAUUGAAUAAAACGUUUUAAUAGGUGAUCCAAUCACACCUAAAUCAAGAGAUUGGUGGCGACUCCACAUUUUGGUUUUAAAAGUCGAUUCUCAUUGUUUUAAAAAUAAAAAAGGGUUUCGACAAUCGCUUAAGGGUGUUUGGGUGUUGUUGCUUUCCAUAUUUACGUCCUUUUGUGCAACACAAACUGGAUUUUCAUUCACAGCCAUGUACGUUUUUGGGGUAUAGCUCUCAACAUAAGGGCUAUCAUUGUCUCACACCAGAUGGUAAGGUUAUUAUUUCUCGCCAUGUUGUGUUUGAUGAACAUCGAUUCUUGUUUCAUUCACCUCAUCUAGCCAUUGUUCAGUCUUCUUCCAGUUUUCCUACAUAUAUAUCUAUUGUUUGGCCCUCAUCUGUCUGGUCCAUAGUAGAACCCAGCAGCAUCACUAUCUCGCCAUCGGCUGUACCCCUGCCUCUUGCUCCAAGUUGUAAUUUCGACUAGUCUAUCCCAGUUGAGUUACCAGCUACGUACCAUCCUAGUCAGCCAGUCUCAGUUGGUUCAUUGGUUGAACUCGGAACUAAUUUAAGGGAGCUUUGUCUUCCAAUUCUGUCUGCAGAAGCUAGUCCGUUCGGUCAAACCAGUGUGUCUCUAAAUAUUCCUCCAGUAAAUACUCGCACUAUGGUUACUCGGUCUAAGGCAGGAAUUUUUAAACCUAUGUCUUUGUCAGUAGACGCUGUAGAUUUUGAGUCACGCUCUGUUGAGGAAGUUCUUGCUCAUAAGGAGUGGAAAUUAACAGUUCAAGCUGAGUUUGAUGCUUUACUGGCCAACUCUACUGGGGAACUUGUUCCUCAGUGAUUGGGUGCAAAUGGCUUUUCAAAAUCAAGAAGAAUCCCGAUGGGUUGGUUAAUCGACGAAAGGCAUAAUUGGUAGCAAAAAGAUGUUCACAAGUACUUGGGUGUGACUUUAAAGAAACAUUUAGCCUGAUGGUCAAACCUGCUGUAACACCCUCUAACCCACAUUUUCCGCCAGAACGGGGUUACAGGAUGUUACCGAAGUUUACAGAAUAAUUACACAUAAUUCCACUAUUUGCUCAUAUUCCAGUCAAGUUGUUUUCUCGAGUCAUAGUAACUAAAUGAUUUAUAUCUUGAGAUACAGGACUCCAAAUUAAGUUUAACUAAUUUUUCCUAAAACAAGACUCAAAUAUAUUCUUACCAUAAAAUUUUCAGAAUUUUUGGUUUAGCCAAUAAGUACAGUUUAUUCUUUGAAGUCACCCCUGUUUCACUGUCAGACAGUUCCUACCCCUCUUCACUAAAGAUUAAUUACUACCUCAUACGAAAUUAGGAUAAUGUUAUUGUUUGUUUAUUUUGAAAAUAGACUCAUUAAUAAUUUUAAGCAUAUAAAUUUAAGCCCCUAAUUAUUUUUCUUCAAUUUAUUAUGAUUUUCCAAAGUCAGAAUAGGGGAACCCAAAAUCAUUCUGACCUUAUCUCACAAAAAUUCAAAUAUCUCAUAAUAUGAAAUUCUUUUGAUUACACCAUUUCUUCUAUGUAAAAUUAGACUCAAUAGGCUUUAAUUUAAUAUUUUAUUCAACCUUUAAAUCGAUUUCCACAAUUUUUGGUGAUUUUUCAAAAUUUGACUACUGCUGCUGUCUAAAACUACUUUAGUGAAAAAUGUUGAUAACUAAGUUUAUAACACAUUCACUUCCUUUCAAUUAAACCCUAUACAUGCCAUAUAAACCUUAAGAUGCAUAAUAAAAUUUACCGAAGUAAUCUGGAUAGUGUGCCCUAAUGAAAGCUUAUGAAAGCUCAUAGGCAUAGAAAAAUAAAUCUUACUAAACAUUGCACAUAAUCAUAUAACAUUUAAUUUCAUUAAAUCCUCUUGUAAAUCACAAAAUCAUUAAUAAACUCAUUUGAUUGAUUUCAAUGUCACUAUUCACCAAUUCUUGAUCUUUUGGGCCCAUUUCUCAUUUACUUUCAUAGUCAAAUUAGGGAACGAUUACGAAAUUGAGUACUUUGUUAUCACAAUACCAUAGUACAACUAUGGUCUUGAACAUAGUCACAUAUUACACAACGAAGCCAUAGCCCAGCCAUGGUCUUACACGGAUCACAUAUCACACUGAUUCCAUAUCCCAGAUAUGGUCUUAUACAGUAGCACAUAUCACUCCGAUGCCAUAGCCCAGAUAUGGUCUUAUAUGGAAGCACAUAAUCACAUCUCUCCGAUGCCAUAGCCCAGCUAUGGUCUUAUACGGAAAUCACAUAAUCACAUCACACUGAUGCCAUAGCCCAGCUAUGGUCUUAUACAGAAAUCACAUAUCACAUGUUGCCAUGGUCCAACCGUGGUCUUUUCGGUCAAUUCGUCUUAGCCACUGAACGAAAGUACUUAAAUCCGUUGUUCCACUUAAUUUGUACUUUUAUUCAAAUAUCAUUUUACAACUAUCACAGUUUAAUGGCAUUCAUAUACAAUAAUAUACUAUAUCAUUCAUGAAAUUUUCAUAUCAAAACAUUAAAUUUAGCCAUAUGAACUUACCUGGGCAAAUUCGCAAAAGUCAUACACGUUCAGGGACUAAUCGACUAUUUUCUCUUUUCCACGAUUCACUUCGAGUUCUUGAUAUAUAAUUGUAAAAUCAUUCAUUUAUUAGCAUUAAUUCCAAUUUUACUCUACUUCACAGUUUAUACCAUUCAAUUCAUAAAAUUACACUUUUUCCCCAAAUUUUAUAGUUUUUACGAUUUAGUCCCUACUCAAUUAACCCAUCAAUUGAGAAAAUUUUUCUCAAUUAACACUUUAUUUAUUCAUUCUAAGCUACUACAAAACCUUUGAAAAUCAGAAUUUCAGCACCAAACCUUAAUUCAAAAAAUUUUCACAAUUAGGUCAUAAAAUCAAUUUCUAUCAAAAUUACUUAAUAAAAUCAUCAUAUAAUAAAAUAAGAACUUAAAUUCCAUAAUAAUUCAUCAUAAUCAUACAGCACUUAUUCAUGGUAACUUUUAAAGUCACCCAUAAAAUCAAAAACUAAUGAAUUAGAUAGUUGGACCUAAUUGUAAAAGUCACAAAAACAUAAAAAUUACUAAGAAAAAGUAAAAAUUGAACUCACAUAUAUCAAAAUAUGAAAAACCAAAAACUUCCAGACCUCCCAUGGCAUUUUUUCUGAAGAAAAAAUGAUGAUAUCUCUAGAUUUUUCAAAUUUGUCUUUAUUUUAUAUGUUUAAUUUGCAAAAUUUCCAAUUUUGCCAUUGUUUCUCCUUGUCUUUUUGCUUAUUUUCUUGCCCAAACCGUCCAUCCCAUAUAAUUUGGAUCUAAAUCCUUUUUAAAUCCCUCCUUAUUAGUCACUUAAGCUAUUUAAUCACUUUACCACAUUUUGCACUAUUUUCAAUUUAGUCCUUUUUAAUUAAUUGACUAGCCAAACGUUAAAAGUUUCUAACGAAAAUUUAAUACUAACUUAAUAACACUCCUUAUGGCUCAUUUAUGAAUCCGAGGUCUUGAUACCUCGUUUUCAACCCGAUUUACCUAAUUAAUUCUUUUAAAUCACAAAAUUCACUAAAAAAUACUUCUAUAAUCAUACUUGUCUCAUAGCUAUUAAUUUAUUAAAUUUUCAACUCACUCGUUGGAUUUAGUGAUCUCGAAUUACUGUUUCCGACACCACUGAAAAUUAGGCUGUUACAACUCUCCCCCUUUUAGGGAUUUUCGUCCCCGAAAAUCUUACCAGAAGAAGUUGCUUUCAAAACUCAUGAAACACUUUUACUAACUUCUCAUAAUCACAAUUCGAUUUAACCUUGAAUAUUUUUUUCCAGUCACCUUUGAACUCUAGAACACAAUGUUGGAACGUACUUUCAAAAUUCUGAAUUACCCUUUCAGGAACACAUAUACUUAGCUGAUCUGUCAAAUAAAAACUCUGUACCCGCUGAAAUGAUCAUACAGAUCUUUCUUUGUAAAAUGAUCAACCAUAAACUAAAUAAUGACAAUCCCAAUUCAAAAUCUAUAGCCAUUCUAUCUCAUAACACACUAGUAUUAUCACUGACGGCAAUAAUCCUGAAUGCUCUUGAUGUUCAGCUUACUUGCUAACAAAUAGACAUCUGAACAUGAACUUAAAAAUAUUAUGUAACGCUCGUGCAAUCACUAGCACAUCUAACUCACAAGAAGAUAAUGAACAUCUUAAUAAUUCCUCAGAGAAAGCCAGAAGAAAAACACUGCUUACGGCUGACUCUGGACUUCUAUCAUAAUAGAGAUAAUAUAUUUCCCGCAUGUAUAAAACAAAAUCAUAAUCAAUAGAAACAUAAGAAUAGUCUCAUAUAAAUUUUUACCAUCGACUUCAUUCCAACAUAUUAGAAUAGAAUUCCAAAGAGAUGAAGAAAUACUGAUCAUAAACCAACCAGACCAACAGGGCUUUCGUCUAACAUCAUAGUUAGCUAGCAUUCUCACAACAUAAGAACUCCAUCAAAAAUUGAACAACUACACACAUAUAUCUGAGAAUAAAAGAAUAUAUAUAAUACCCAGAAAAGAUCAUCAUAUUCAUUUCAACUAUAACUGUCACACACAGACAUCUUUACUACUCAAUUAUCAUUUCUCUAACUAAUUUUGUCAUCAUGAACCCUGCAUCAUUCCAUUCACUAACGAAAACCAAUUCGGGAAAAACUUCAACAAACACAUACUUUAGACAUCAUAUCUAAAUAAUCUAUUAGCCGAGGUUAACUUUUUCUUUAACCGUGACAUUACGUAAUCUGAAUAAUCUUUAGAAUAAUUUGAUAUCUUUUUUCAAAACUCUAUUCACUUGUCAAACUAUUUUCAACUCCGUCUGCAUUAUUAAUUAUUCCACUACUGUACUCUUUAGUUUCACACUUGUGAACAUAUUCAACAUAAUUCUAGUGAAUUUUCGUUAUAAAAAAACCACAUUGGUAAGGGGGUGAGGUCGUAAAGCCUCUAACUAAACUCUCAUAAACACACACAUAUGACUUAGCAUCUAUCAUCAACAUCAUAUCCUUACAAUUACAUAAUUCACUUCAAUCAAAUUAACAUACAUAAUUAUGUUACACGAACUUUUCAAUUAUCCUUUUCAAACAAGUGUACUUAAACUUACAUUCCAUGAAUUUUGAGUAAGUUUACUCGUAGUAUUUACUUAAUCAAACAAGUCAGGCACAUAACAUCAUAUGAAUGCCACACAAACAUAUAUAAGCUUAUCACAAUAUAAACUUUCAUUUCAUUCAUGUUUCCAUAUUUCUCAACUUAUAAUUAUUUCAUUUCGUACAUUAUCACAUACAUAUCAUGAACUUCUAUUCAUACCUUUAUAAGUUCCGUCUCAUCAUAAACACAUUUUAAAUAUCUCAAUAUCUCUUUUAGUACUAUAGAAAAUAGCUCAGUUGGAAAGAAUUUCUGUCUAUAAGUAAAACAAAGACUAGAUCGAAUCAUACACAUCAGACUAUCACAGAUUUAUAUGGCAUGUAUUUCUAGACACUUUAUACAUCUCACUCCUUCCAAGAAUCGGCUAAACCGAAGCUCCGAUACCAAUAAAUGUAACACCCCUAACCCACAUUCAUCGCUAGAAUGGGGUUACAGGAUGUUACCGGAGUUUACAGAAUAAUUACACAUAAUUCCACUAUUUGCUCAUAUUCCAGUCAAGCUGUCUUCUUGAGUCAUAGUCACUAAAUUAUUUAUCUCUUGAGAUACAAGACUCCAAAUUAAGUUAUUAUAAUUUUUCUUGAAACUAGAAUCAAAUAUAUUUUUACCAUAAAAUUUUUAGAAUUUUUGGUUUAGGCAAUAAGUACAUUUUAUUCUUCAAAGUCACCCCUGUUUCACUGUCAGACUAUUCCAACACCUCUUCACCAAAGAUUAAUUAUUUCCUUAUAAGAAAUUUAGAUAAUGUUCUCGUUUAUUUAUUUUGAAAAUAGACUCAUUAAUAAUUUUAAGCAUAUAAAUUUAAGCCCCUAAUUAUUUUUCUUUAAUUUAUUAUGAUUUUCCAAAUUCAGAAUAGGGGAACCCAAAAUCAUUUUGACCUUAUCUCACAAAAGUUCAAAUAUCUCAUAAUAUUAAAUUAUUUUGAUUACACCAUUUAUUCUAUGUAAAACUAGACUCAAUAGGAUUUAAUUUCAUGUUUUAUUCAACCUCUAAGUCGAUUUUCAAAAUUUUUGGUGAUUUUUCAAAGUUUGACUACUGCUGCUGUGUAAAACUAUUUUAGUGAAAAAUGUUGAUAACUAAGUUUAUAACACAUUCAGUUCCUUUCAAUUAAACCCUAUACAUGCCAUAUAAACCUUAAGAUGCAUAAUAAAAUUUACCGAAGUAAUCUGGAUAGUGUGCUCGGAUGUGUUGAUCUGAUCCACCGAUUUCACGUCAAUCUAUAAAGAACAUUUAACAUACAAGACUAAGCUUAUGAAAGUUUAGUAAGCUUAUAGGCAUAGAAAAAUAAAUCUUACCGAACAUUGCACAUAAUAAUAUAACAUUUAAUUUCACUAAAUCCUCCUGUAAAUCACAAAAUCAUUAAUAAACUCAUUUGAUUGAUUUCAAUGUCACUAUUCACCAAUUCUUGAUCUUUUGGGCUCAUUUCUCAUUUACUUUCAUAGUCAAAUUAGGGAACGAUUACGGAAUUGAGUACUUCGUUAUCACAAUGCCAUAGUAAAACUAUGGUCUUGUACAUAGUCACAUAUUACACAGCGAAGCCAUAGCCCAGCCAUGGUCUUACACGGAUCACAUAUCACACAGAUGCCAUAUCCCAGAUAUGGUCUUAUACAGUAGCACAUAUCACACCGAUACCAUAGCCCAGCUAUGGUUUUAUGCGAAAAUCACAUGAUCACAUCACACCGAUGCCAUAGCCCAGCUAUGGUCUUAUACAGAUGGUCUUUUCCGUCAAUUCAUCUUAGCCACUGAACGAAAGUACUCAAAUCCGUUGUUCCACUUAAUUUGUACUUUUAUUCAAAUAUCAUUUUACAACUAUCACAGUUUAAUGACAUUCAUAUGCAAUAAUAUACUAUAUCAUUCAUGAAAUUUUGAUAUCAAAACAUUAAAUUUAGCCAUAUGAACUUACCUGGGCAAAUUCGCAAAAGUCAUACACGUUCAGGGACUAAUCGGCUAUUUUCUCUUUUCCACGAUUCACUUCGGGUUCUUGAUCUAUAAUUGUAAAAUCAUUCAUUUAUUAGCAUUAAUUUCAAUUUUGCUCUACUUCAAAGUUUAUACCCUUUAAUUCCCAAAAUUAUACUUUUGCCCCAAAUUUUAUAGUUUUUAUGAUUUAGUCCCUGCUCAAUUAACCCAUCAUUUGAGCCAAUUUUUCUCAAUUAACACUUUAUUUAUUCAUUCUAAGCUACUACAAAACCUUUGAAAAUCAAAAUUUCAGAACCAAACCUUAAUUCAAAACUUUUUCACAAUUAGGUCCUAAAAUCAAUUUCUAUCAAAAUUACUUAAUAAAAUCAUCAUAUACUAACAUAAGAACUUCAAUUCCAUAAUAAUUCACCAUAAUCAUACAACACUUAUUCAUGGUAACUUUUAAAGUCACCCAUAAAAUCAAAAACUAAUGAAUUAAAUAGUUGGACCUAAUUGUAAAAGUCACAAAAAACAUAAAAAUUACUAAGAAAGAGGAAAAAUUGAACUCACAUAUGUCAAAAUAUGAAAAAAGAAAGAAACUUCCAGACCUCCCAUGGCAUUUUUUCUGAAUAAAAAUGAUGAUAUCUCUAGAUUUUUCAAUUUUGUCUUUAUUUUAUAUGUUUAAUUUGCAAAAUUUCCAAUUUUGCCCUUGUUUCUCCUUGUCUUUUUGCUGAUUUUCUUGCCCAAACCGUCCAGCCCAUAUAAUUUGUAUCUAAUUCCCUUUUAAAUCCCUCCUUAUUAGUCACUUAAGCUAUUUAAUCAUUUUACCAAAUUUUACACUAUUUUCAAUUUAGUCUUUUUUAAUUAAUUGACUAGCCAAACGUUAAAAUUUUCUAACAAAAAUUUAAUACUAACUUAAUAACACUCCUUAUGGCUCGAUUUAUGAAUCUGAGGUCUCGAUACCUCGUUUUCAACCCGAUUUACCUAAUUAAGUUUUUUAAAUCACAAAAUUCACUAAAAAAAUACUUCUAUAAUCACACUUGUCUCAUAGGUAUUAAUUUAUUAAAUUUUCAACUCACUCGUCAAAUUUAGCGAUCUCGAAUCACUGUUUCCGAUACCACUGAAAAUUAGGCUGUUACACCUGCUACUAUCCGAACCAUUUUAUCUGUUGUUGUAUCCAAUGAUUGGCAACUCCGUCAAGUCGGUGUAAACAAUGCCUUUUUAAAUGGAGACCUAACUGACAAAGUGUUCAUGUAACAACCUCCAAGCUAUGUUCAAUAUGGACCAAAUGGUGAGCCAUUUUGUAUGCUAUCUAACGAAGGCUUUGUACGGAUUACGGUAAGCUCCCCGUGCCUGGUUUGAAAAAUUGAAACAGUUCCUUGUCUCUACUAGUUUUGUCUUAUCUAAAUCCGAUGCUUCAUUGUUUGUUAAAGUUUCAACCAAGUCUACUGUCUAUAUCUUGGUCUAUUUGGAUGAUAUUAUUAUUAUUGGAAGUUCGACUGAUGAAAUAAACUGUUUUGUUCUACAGCUACAUAAUGAAUUUUCUCUAAAGGUAUUGGCGAGCUCUAUUAUUUUUUAGGGAUUGAGGUCAGUAGGUCGUCCAUUGGCAGUCUUCACUUGUACCAGCACAAAUAUAUUCGGGAUCUUAUUGACAGGAGUUCUCUGGCUAAUGCAAAGAGUGUUCAUACGUCGAUGGUUUGUUCAUCAACUUUGUCUAAAGAUGAAGGUGAUCGGCUUGCUGACCCUACUAAAUACAGAAGUCUUGUUGGUGCUUUUUAAUAUGUGGUUUUAACUUAGUCGGAUAUUGCCUAUGCUGUAAAUCGUGUCUGUCAAUUCAUGCAUGCACCUACUACGGUUCAUCUGAUAGCAUUAAAACGUAUCUUGAGGUAUUUACAUGGCACUAUUACUCAUGGGUUGGUUUUUAAACGAUCUGAUAGACUAUCUUUGGUUGGUUAUGCUAAUGUCAAUUGGGGUCUUGAUUUUGAUGACUGCCGUUCUACUACGGGCUAUUGUGUCUACUUUGGUCAUACACUUGUCUCGUGGUGUUCUAAGAAACAAGUUGUUUCUUUGUCCACGAUAGAGGCUGAAUAUCGAAGUUUAGCUGCAGCUUCCAGUGAUAUUGCUUGGUUAGUUUCUCUGUUAACAGAAUUACAAAUCAGUUCUAUUGAUCCUUGUAACAGCCCGAUUUUGACCCUAUUCGAAAUGGUGGUUUCGGGACCACGAAUCUGAGUCAGAAAAUUAUUUAAAAAUUAUUUUCUGUGUUUAUUUUGUGUGAAUUUAUGUGUGUGAAAAUUUCAUUCGAAAAUUUUAUCGUUUGAGUGUUCCAUUUAAUAAAAGGGCUUAAUCACGUAAAAUAAAAAUUUGAUGGUUUAAUGUGUAAGGGCUAAAUUGAAUGUGUCUUUAUAGUUUAAAGUAUUUAUAAUGCAAUUUGACCAUGAGAAUAUGAUAUAGACGGUUGUAACCUUAUAUUAUAAUGGUUUUAUAUUAGUUAAUAAAGGUUAUAUAAGUAAAAUGAUUAAUAAUGUUAUAUAGUAUAAAACAUAAAAUAACUAAAAGCCAUGCAUGUUUAUAUUUUGAUAGUCGAAAUUAGCUAAAGGAAAAGAAAAAGAAAAGAAAGCCAUAUUCGGCCAUUGUUAAGCUUAAUCAAGGUAAGUAACUAGCUCGGUCUUUGAUAAUUUUUACGUUUUUGAAAUUGUUGCAGUGUAAUAUACAAAGCCCAUGCUUGAAUUUCUAAUUUUGAUGAAUAUUUUGAUUAUGUCAUUGAUGAAUAAUUGAGCUUUGUGAUGUUAGUUGAUGAAUUAUGAAAGACAUGUUUUGGAUUAAUAUGUUUUGUAUUGGAAUUUUUGAUGAUUUUGAGUAAUUAGGGCUAAAUUUCAAAAAUAAUAAAUUAAGGGACUAAAAUGUGAAAUAAAUGAAAUUUAUGGACUUGUAUGAGCAUAAGGACAAUUCAGCCUAAGCAUGGUGUGUGCAAAAUUUGCAUGUUGUGUUUUGUGCAAUUUGGACUAAAUUGUAAAAAGUGUAAAAUGUUGGGGGUAAAAUGGUAAUUUUCCCAUUUAUGUUUUUGGACUAAAUUGAAUGAAAUUAUGUUUUAAUGAGUUUAAUUUGAAUAUGUUUAGAUCAAGAACCAAAGAAAUUAGAUUUGGAUCGGGGGAAAACCAAAGUUGUCGAUUAGUCAUUCCGUUCUAAUUAUCGUUGUCCGAGGUAAGUUUAUAAGCAAAUUAGAUAUUAUUUAUUUGAUUAAAUAUGAACUAUAUAUGCUGAAAUGAAUAAAUGUGAUAUUAUAUAUGUGGAAGCUGAAUAUGUAUAAGCUUAAAAGCUAUGUGUACGAGUUCGAUUCAAUCGAGUUACAACGUCUGAAAGCCCUGUACGAACCUUAGGAAUAGCUAGGAUACAUAUGUCAUGACAUAGGAUUUUUGAAAUGUGUUAUCGUGUAAGACCACGUCUGGCACGUUGGCAUUGAUAUGUGAUUACGUGUAAGACCAUGUCUGGGACAUUGGCAUUGUAUUAGAUUCAUGUAAGACCCUGUCUGAAACAGUGGCAUCGAUAUGUGAUUGCAUGUAAGACCACGUCUGGGAUGUUGGCAUUGUGCGAUAUGCUUGAUUAUUCGAGUAUCCUAUUCAAUUCCAAACGGUUCAACGGGCAAUAAUAAGUUAAGAUCGAAUGAAAAAUCGAGUUAAAAGGUCCAAGUAUGUAUUCAUACUAAGUUAUGAAAUUAUGGUAAGUUAGAUGUUUGGAUUAAAGAUAUAAAUGUUACUUGUUAAUGUGAACUACAUGUAUGCAUAUGUGAAAAUAUACAUUCAGUUUAAUGGUGUAUUCAUGAUGCAAAUGAAAGUAUAUGUGUAUAUGAAAAACUAUAAUUGGCCAAAUGUUUAGUAUAUGUGAGUUUGUAAUUGUGAUUUAUGUGUGUAGUAGGCCAAUUUUGGCCCACUAAUACCAAGCCCAUUUACCCCUCUUACAACCAACAAACCAAAUCCCCUAGCCCAAAUACCACCAGCCCAAUACUCAACCAGCCCAACAAAAAAAAAGAGAAACAGACAACAAGAAACCCUAAACUCCCACUUGCCUCUUCCCACUCUCCCAUGCUGUCUGCCACCAGCACCAUUCCCACUCUCCCAUGCUGUCUGCCACCAGCACCAUCACACACCCCCAUACCGUCUACCACCACCAUGCCUUUGCCGCACCUGCAAACAAGCAAAGGAAAAGGACAAAAAAUGGAGCAAUAAACAGUAACAGAAAUUGUAUUUUUGGCUAUAAAAGCCACAAGCAAAAUCGAACUUAGGGGGGGAAUUUUUAAGUAAAAAAAGAGAGAAAUAAUUUCAAUACACAAGCAGUGAUAAAAUAAUAGAGGAACUACAAGAUCGAAAAUCAAAAUCAAAAAAAAGAAGGUGACUUUAAAUUUUUAUUGAAUCGGCUUCAUAUUUUUUUAUUUUCUUUUCUUUGUCAUUUUCUACUCAUAUUUAUACACAUAUAUAGUGCAAAAAUAUAAAACAUAUAAAAAUAUAAAAAUAAAUAAAUUUUUACCUUUCCGGCCACCGCACGCCGGCACCGGCGAGGCUCCGGUGGCCGUCCGAUGACCGACCCCUGUGGCCGGAGCUCUCCCCUCCCCUCUCUUCCUUCCCCGCUCCCUCUUUUCUCUCCCUCCUCUUCCCUUUUUUUUCCUUUCUUCUGUUUCAAAUGAAAAAAAUAAAAAUUUUUAACUUAUAUAGGGGACCAAAACGGUGCGUUUUGGUCCCCCCCUUUAACCCUUAAAACGGCGCCGUUUAGGCCCAGGGUCGGGUCGACCCGACCCGCACCAAGGAGGAUCGGCGUGUUUUUCUUUGGAAGGGCUAAUUGCACUUUUAGCCCUUUCGCUUUUCUGGGAGUUUACAAUCAAGGUUUUUUUAUUUUUAAUUUGGCCCCAUGGUUUUGCCCCGAAUUCAUUCUGGUCCCCCACUAAACGCUGCGUUUCGAGAGGACGGGAUAUUUUCACUUUUAAUCCCUCCCGUGUUUUAGCGUGUUCCAAUUGGUCCUUCUCUUUUAUAUAUUUCUUUUUAAAAUUGCCCCUAACCUUUUUUAUUUCGAUUUUCAUCCUUUUUUUUACUUUUCCUCAUUAUUUUAUUUUAAUUUCAAUAUUAUUUAUACUAAUAUAUUCUAUUAAUGUUAUUAUUAUUAUAUUUUUAGUAUUUUAUUGUUGUUAUUCUACUUAAUACUAACCUGUAUAUGUUAUUUAAUAUUAUUAAGGGUUUAAUAUCAUUAUCUUGUUAAUAUAUUUGUAUAUCACCUAUGCAUUCUUUAAAUAUAUAUACAUUUACGCAUAUAUCCUAAAAUUAUAUUACACAUAUUUGUUUUAUAUAUAUAUAUUUAUCUACGUAUAUUAUGUCUCUAUUUUAAUAUAUUUUACAUAUAGUAUUUAUAUAUAGUUCUUAUACAUUUCCAAGUACAUAUUUCUAUACCAUCUUAUGUAUAUAUUUUUAAAUAUUAUAUUGUAUAUGUAUAUAUAUUUUUUCUUAGUACCACAUCACGUAUAUAUCACGUAUAUAUUUAUUUUUACCCAUAUUGUAUUUGUUAUUAAUUUUAAUACAUUUAUUUUAUCAUACGUAUAUAUACCUUCCUUAUUUGUAUCAUUUGUGUAUGUCGUAUUAUUGAUUUUGUAUUUAUUAUUUUCCCUAUUGCUACUUAUUAUAUUAUUAUUUGGUGUACAUACAUCUUACUAUUAUUAGUAUAAAUGUAUUUUCCUUGUCCAUAGUAUUCCUAAUAUUAUUGUAUAUGUUCAAUUAUACUAUGUGUACUUGUAUCUAGUACGUAUAUAUUUAGUAAUAUUGCACAUAUAUGUCUAUUAGGCAUUAUAUUUUCAUACAUCAUGUAUAUAUGUCACAUAUUAUAUUUUUGCAUAUUUAUAUGUUACCUUAUAUUAUUAUUACUAAAUGUACUUUAUAUUUAUUCAUGUUUGGUUUUAUUUCUCUUUUAAAUAUUAUUAUUACUGUUUUGCUACUGCUCUAGUAUUAUGUUAAGUUUUUUCAUUGAUAAUGUCAUUGUUUGCUUCUUUGAUUUAUUCUUAUUUCAUGAAUAUCUUUUAUGUUUUAAUUACUAAUCGAGGCAAUAUAUUGAUUUAACAUUAAGUCGUAAAUCUCAUCGCUAUGUUGGAUGGAAUUUGUCGGCUCAUGUUAAAAUGGUAUAUCCUUCUCAAAAAUCAAAAAUUGAAAGUUCUCGUCUUUUAAAUCGGAUCACGAUUGGAAUUUAAAUUGAACUAGCCUUUUUGAAAAUUAAGACAACACAUGUUUAAAAGAUACCAAUUUUGGGCGUCGCGAGGGUGCUAAUACCUUCCUCGCGCGUAACUGACUCCCGAGCCCUACUUUGUCUCUGAUUUUAACGUAGACCUAAACUCGGCCUUCUUUUGUUUUAAAAAAUAAAUUUAUUAGGUGUCCGAUCACAUCUAGGAAAAAGGAUCGGUGGCGACUCCCUCUUUAUUUUAAAAUCGAACUUCAGUUUCCAAACUUUUUCACUAGAUUGCCACAAUUAGCGACCCAAAACCAAAAUUUUUACGUCGCUACAGCUGGCGACUCCACUGGGGACGGCCUUGUUGAGAGUCGUGUCUGGAAUUAAACACAUUUUGUCAAAAUUUUCAAAUUUCCUUGUUCAAAGUAAAUAUUUGGUCAUGAUCCGAAAAUCUCGUUUUCAAAAUUCAUGCAUUUGUAUCGUGCUGUAAAUAUUUCAUCUAACUUACUUAUUUGGUUGUUUUUUAGUGUUUUAAUUUUUAUGGUUUUAAUUUUGGUUUAGCUUCUUUAAGUGAAACGUAAAGGUUUAUGAGUUGUUCCCCACACACCGUGUACUUGCAUUUUACAUAACAUGAGCUCUCUACCCGGGCUCCGUCCGUUUAAGUGAAAGUAAACGCUACGCCUUCGUGAGUUAACUCGUCCCUCCGCACAGGCUAGUGAAUACUUUCGGGUUACAUAUGACUUAUGCUUUCGUGAGUUAACUUGUCCCUCCGCAUAGGCAUAAGUAAAUGUAACCCCUCGAAUUGAACUCGUGAGCCUGUGAUAGGCUAUGACCGAGGCUCCGUGUUAAUCUUAGCAGAUGAUAGUACGGGCAAUUCGAGUACCUAUCUAGAACCAAAACCGCAUAUAAUGAACCAUACGAGCCACCUAACUAGAGCCAUACCGAACCUCCGCUCGUUUAGUAGUCACCAAAAUAAGUACACGGGAAAAGCACAUCUUACCUUCUAUUUCUUUUACAUUUGUGCUUUCUAAACAAGGGAAUCGAGUCCACUGGACCAAGUAGCUUAAUUUGUUAGAUUUUCCACAGUUUUUCUCUAUUUAUAUGUGUUGCGCUAACCAAGGUCGUUUGUCUGUAUUUCUAUUUUUCAUCAUGCAUCGAAAGCAUCUUGUUAGGAAGGUGUUGAUUAGAGAUUGGUUGCCAAAAAAUAGGUUUCUGAUGGAGGAGUCAAUUACACAAAUAACCGAGAAGAGUGCCGUGGUUCGGGACUGGUCUCUAAAAAUUCAGAAAGAAAAGGGGGAUAGUCUAGUGGAAGGGUGUGUCGCUAAUUUGCCCGAACAUAUAACUGUAAAUGUUCGCCAAAAUAACUUUGAGGAUUUGGUUCGAAUUUGGAAUCAGUGGGAUUCAGACACUAGAGACAUUUUCACUGAGAGGUAUGGAGAUAUAGCUCACCUGAUCACCAUCCGUGUAGACGAACAGUUUAUUCAAGCCAUGGUUCGGUUCUGGGACCCAGCUUAUCAGUGUUUCACCUUCAAUCAAGAAGACAUGACUCCAACCAUAGAAGAGUAUGCUGCUUUACUCCGCAUCGACAAUGUACAAUUCGGCAAAAUAUAUGUGAAGGAGCCUAAGCCGAUGACCUUCAAGAAAAAGUUAGUGAGACUGACAGACAUGACCGAUGCAUGGGCCGAGAAACAGAUAAAGAAGAAGAAUGAAACCAUUUGCAUUCCAUGGUCCUCCCUACGAGAUUUGGCUCUGAACCAUCCCAACAUGCUGAAAAGGGUAAAUCUAUUCGCUUUGGCCAUUUACAGUUUGGUCAUUUUCCCAAAAGUUCUCGGACAUCUCGAAGUUGCAGUAUUUGAUUUCUUCGAAAGGUUAAAACAAGGUUGAUGGAAUCAACCCUGUCCCGACCAUCCUAGCCGAGACCUUCAGGUCCCUGAGUAGUUGUCGAAGAAAAGGGGAGGGACGAUUUAUCGGAUGCGCGCAGUUGCUCAUUGUUUGGAUUUUGAGUCACUUCUGGAAGGUAGAGCGCACUCCGUUCCAUAUGUUUUCUAAAACAUUCUCCCCGCUAGAAGCUUACCUCAAGAAAGAAUGGCCGAAGGAAGUCACCGAGCAACAUUGGGUAUUAGUUUUUCAGAAUCUUCGCGCCGAGAAUAUAACAUGGAGAGCACCCUAGAUCUGUCCUUCAGUUCUGCUAUACAAAUGUGGAAGCCAAGAUUGGGUACCUUUACUCGGGUUAUAGAGAGGAGUUGGAUAUGCCCCGCUAUUAGUCCAAAGGCAGUUUUCUUCGCGACAAUUCCUCCUCGCAACUGGAGGAUUAGCACAGUUCGAGUUCACUUUCGCGGGUGAAGGAUAUAUGAAGAGAGUCCGAGACACUGCAAAGUAUUGGAAGGAAAUUCAUUUCAUGGAAUUAGCUUUGUAUGCUGAUACCCUUACCCAAGAUUACGACAUAUGGAGGAAGCAACGGGUAAAUAGUCAGCGAAUCUCAUCAACAAACUACACCAUCCAGAAUCCUUUCUCGGAGGAAACGCCGUCUGAGCUAGAAAUGGCAAGACAAGAAUUUGAACGAGAAAAUGCCAAGAUGUCUCGGGACCUUAGUGCCCUUCAAGAAGAAAACUAUCAACUAAAGAUUAAGGUUCAGGUUGAAAGGUCCAGGACUGAAAAAGUACAAAGAGAAGCCGAGAUUGUGAGAAACGACUUAAGGGACCUUCACUUGGAAAACAAGAAAUUAAGAAACACUAUAAAGAAUAGCGGGUUGUGCAAGUCGACAGCAGAAUGGAAGGAAGAAAUUAGCAAUAUCAAGGGAGGAAUAGAGUUUUGGAAGGGAAAAGCAAAGAAAGAGGAGGAAAAGACUGCACGCGCUGUGAUAGAGUUAAGAAGGAAGAACGUCGAGUAUAAAAUAGUGGCUGCAAAAUUGGCGAAUAGUCAGUCUGAACAUCAAGAAUUAAAAAGGAAAACACGAGAUCUAGAAAAUAUGCUGCAAUCUCGUCAACAACAAUUAGAUAACCUCUUGAAGGCUCUAGAAGAAAAGAGUGAGCAGUACGAUAAGGACAUUCACGCGUAUGAAGGAACCCUCAAAGAAAAAGAAAUGCAACUUGACUUCUUGAUCAAUGAAAUUCGUAAAGCGGCUAUGCAAGUUGUUCAAUUAUCAGAUGAAGCCGAAGUUCUCAGUUGCCAAUUCCCUCCGAGCCAAAGAUCGAGCAUAUCAGAGUUUUUAGAGCAAGUGAAGAAACAAGGCAAUGUGGCUAGGAAAUUUGUGUAACUGUUGGAAAAAUGAGAACUUUGUGUAAUAGACUAUGUUGAUAAAUGAAAUGCCUAAAUAUGGGGCUAUCUUGAAAUCAACACAAAUUUCUUGCAUUUCAUUCAUAACUGACAUUCAUUUGACAUUCAUGCAUUCAUUCAUGUAUCAGUUCAUUCAUUGCAUAUUCCAUACUCGUUCGCUGAGGUUAAAACGUACAAUUCGCAGUUGCCAGACUUCAAGACUGGAACCACGUCAUCCGUAUAAAAUGCGCCGACAAGCUAGAGUAAUGGAGAAUGAAUUCAAUGAGAGAAUUGAAAGGAUGGAAAGGGCUCAAAAGGAAUUACAAGAGCAACUGGCCAAAUCGCAACAAGAGACGAGAGACCUAAUGGUGAGAUCUCGAGAGGAAUCUCUCGAGCAAAGAUAUCAGAUAGCUAAAAUGAUGGAGAUGAUGACAACUUUGGUCAAAGGAAAAAUGCAGAACCCCGAUGUUAUGGAACCUCGGUCAAGAAUUCACCAUGAUCAGGAUCCACUCUAUCCCCCGGGAUUCACUCCACCGCCCGCAUAUACAAUACAAAGAGGGUAUACUCAAGAGGAACCCACUGGCUUGGAACAUCGACCUAUGCCACCUGCUCCACCCACUAAUUUGGGGUAAGAAAUGUUAGCGUCGAACCCAGGGGCUAGUUCUGCUAAUCCACUAGUUCCAGAUCUGGAUGACCCAGCAGAGGUAGCCAAGUUGAAAUUGGAUAACCAUGACGCAAAAUAUAGGAGUCUAGAGGAAAGACUCAAAGCAAUAGAAGGCACUGAAGUCUUCUCCGCACUAGGUGCCAAGGAACUCAGUUUGGUACCUGAUCUAAUUUUGCCUCCGAAGUUCAAAGUGCCUAAUUUUGAGAAGUAUGAUGGGACAAGGUGCCCGAAAGCACAUCUCAUUAUGUUCUGUCGGAAAAUGACUGGUUAUGUGAACGAGGAUAAACUACUCAUACAUUGCUUUCAAGAUAGUCUAAUAGGGUCAGCUCUUCGGUGGUACAAUCAACUUAGUAGAGAAAAGAUUCGAUCUUGGAAGGACUUGGCGUCAGCAUUUUGCGAACAGUACAAGCAUGUAUCGGAUAUGGUGCCAGACCGUAUGACCUUGCAAAUGAUGGAGAAAAAGCCAUCAGAGACCUUUAGACAGUAUGCGCAGAGAUGGAGAGACGUCUCAGCUCAAGUGGAACCCCCACUAACAAAAACGGAGAUAACCGUUCUCUUUAUCAAUACUUUAAAGGCACCGUUUUAUGACAAAUUAGUGGGAAGUGCCACGAAAGAUUUCGCGGAUAUUGUAAUAUCCGGUGAACUCAUAGAGAAUGCCGUCAAGAGCGGCAGAAUGGAAGGAUCAGAAGGCUCAAGAAAAGCAGCACCCUUAAGGAAGAAAGAGCCAGAAGCCCACAUGGUGGGAACUGGGAGUCGUUACAUUCCCAAUUCGUAUCCUAACCAACCCCGACCUCGAAAUUAUCCACCCCCAAAUUCCUAUUAUCCCCCUCAAACCCCUUACUACCAAGCACCACAUCUGUCCUACCCCGUAUACGCCACGAACAACUAAAGACCCGUCACCACUUUCCCACAAAACACGGUACCCACCCAAAGCCAAUCAAGGCAUAAUCCUGAGAGACCGCAAUUUACCCCCAUCCCUGUGUCGUAUGGGGAAUUGUACCCAAAACUUUUAGAAAAACAGCUAAUUUCUCCCCAUUACAUGACACCCCUUAAACCUCCAUACCCAAAGUGGUACGAUCCAAACGCUAGUUGUGCAUACCACGCAGGAAACCAACGGCACUCUACUGAGAACUGUCUCGUUUUCAAAAGGAGAGUUCAAGGACUCAUUGACGCGGGUAUCCUACGAUUCGAUAGUGCUAGUAACGCCACAGGGAACCCGUUCCCUAACCAUACCGAAGGGAAUGUGAGCACAGUGGGGAAAGAGGAUGAAUGGAAGGUCAGAAGAUGUGUAUCAGAAAUAAGGACGCCUCUACAGAAAAUCUGGGAGGUAUUGGUUAAGAAAGGAUUACUCUGUCACUCUGAUAGAAUUUUUGGAGAAGAAGGUCAAAGUUUUUGCAAUUUUCAUGGGAUUGUUGGGCACGACAUUCAGUCAUGCGAGGACUUUAAAAGGUUACUUCAAGACCGGAUGGAUAAUAAGGAGAUCAAGGUCCUUAACAAGAGUGAAGAUGCCAACGAAAGAGAAGUAUGCGUCUCUGAUAGCCAAUCAUCAGGGCCCCCUUAUAGUGCUGAUCGACCGUUGGUAAUUUAUUACGACGCGAUGAGAGAGCCAUUGAAACCACAGAUGGUAAUUGAAGUACCAUCUCCUUUCCCAUAUAAGGACAACAAAACAGUACCGUGGAAAUAUGAUGUUAAUAUUGUUACACCGGAAGUUGAAAAGUCCAAAGCCAUAACUGAAGAUGUUGGGGAGGUAGGUCAUUUUACUCGAAGUGGACGAUGCUAUUCUAAAGAAGUUGAACCGGUAAAGAAAAGUAGCGACUCGAAGCAAAAAGGGAAAGCAGUGAUGUACGAGGUCGAAGUCGAGCAAGAAAUUCCACCCGUGCAAGAAACUAAAAAGCCUGUGAAUGAGGAAGAAGCUCAAGAAUUCUUGAAAUUUAUUAAGCACAGCGAAUAUAGUGUGGUGGAACAAUUGAGCAAGCAGCCAGCACGAAUCUCAGUUCUAUCUCUACUAUUAAAUUCAGAGCCACACCGGAACGCUUUAUUGAAGGUGUUAAAUCAAGCUUACGUGGCCAACAACACAUCUGUCGAAAAGCUUGAUAGGUGGGUAAACAAUCUGAAUGCGGACAACUUCAUCUCUUUUAGUGAUGAUGAGAUACCGCCAAAUGGUAGAGGCUCGGUGAAAGCGCUGCAUAUCACGACCCGCUGCAAGGGCUACAUAAUACCGAACGUACUCAUCGAUAAUGGGUCAGCGAUAAAUGUUAUGCCAUUGGCUACGCUUUCCAGAAUACCGAUGGAUUUGUCCUACUUAAAGCCCUGUCAUUCCAUGGUAAGGGCAUUCGACGGGACGAAGCGUGAAGUCAUGGGAAAGAUCAAAAUCCCUUUGGAAGUGGGCCCCUACAUCUAUGAGGUCGAAUUCCAAGUCAUGGACAUUACACCCUCUUAUAACUGCCUUUUGGGAAGACCUUGGAUUCAUUCUGCUGGAGCAGUCCCAUCAUCCCUCCAUCAAAAGGUGAAAUUCAUCAUGGAUGGCUGUUUGGUCACAGUCGAGGGCGAAGAAGACAUCGUCGCAUCUAUCACUGCUGAUGCGCCAUACCUGGAAGUAAGCAAGGACGCAGUGGAAUGUUCCUUUCGAUCCCUUGAAUUCAUCAAUGCCACUUUCGUCACUGAGGGAAAUAGAAUUCUGAUGCCAAAACUGUCGAGAAAUACCAGAAUGGGUGUCAAGUUGACCGUAGAAAGGGGAGCUCGUGCGAGAAGAGGUUUAGGGAGACAUCUGCAAGGAAUAGUGAGGGCUUUAAAGCCAGUGCAGCACAAGGCCCGAUACGGUUUGGGGUUCCAGCCUGACAUGCGCCAAAGAAGAAGACAGUGGAAGAAGGAUCAAGAGAGAAGAAUUGUAAGAACUUUGGGCCGAGAACCAGAAUGGGAACCAAUAGAGUACCCUCCUUUGUCAAAAAUAUUUACAUCUGCGGGAAUGAUAUAUCCUGGACAAGAUGAUCCACGAAACAUGCUGGGGUUAAUUGAAAGGAGUUUUCAGAAUGUCAGUAUAAGUGUCAUUGACAAAGAAGCUGGUGCAAGUAAAGAUGUCUCGAGGAUACGCCCUUGCCCUCCUGGUUUCAUGUUGAACAAUUGGAUUGCUGAGGAGCUUCUUGUAGUUUAUAAGCCUUCAGAGUAAUGCUAAACAUCAACCUUCUAUUGUGUCCUUAGAUAUAAUGGAAUUCUUUUGUAGGAGCUUGCAUUCGCUCUUUAUCAUUUGAGGAAUAUCAAUGAAGAUGCAUUUUGUCAUGAUUUUUCGCAUUAUCACUAAUUUCAUAAUCAUUUUCUCAUUUCAUAGCCUAUCCUUACAUUUGCCUCAUUGCCAUGACAUAACAUUCGUUUGUUGUUUCCAAUACUUGGAUGUCCCCCUAUAGCUUCCUUUUCCAUUCAACUUUUAGGUGCUCAGAUAUUGACAACAUGAAUAAGCCCGUUACGAAUCUUGAAAUUGAUUUUGAGAAGGCUGUUUGCUUAGGAGAAUUUGAAGCCGAAGAAAAUGCUGAAGAUUAUGUCUCGUCUCCUGAAUUGUUAAGAAUGGUAGAACAAGAGGAUAAACAGGUUCUGCCUCAUGAAGAAUCUGUGGAAACAAUAAAUUUGGGCACUGAAGAGAGGAAACAAGAAGUGAAGAUUGGGACUUCUAUUUUAGAAAGUACCAGGCAUAGUUUGAUCACUUUACUCCGCGAAUAUAAAGAUGUUUUCGCGUGGUCAUACCAGGACAUGCCAGGGCUAGAUGAAGAUUUAGUGGUCCAUAAGCUCCCAUUAAAGCCAGAAUGCAGGCCCAUCCAACAAAAAUUAAGACGGAUGAGGCCCGAAAUGCUGUUGAAAAUAAAAGAGGAAGUCAAUAAGCAAUUUGACGCUGGCUUCCUACAAGCCUCCAAAUAUCCAGAAUGGGUGGCUAACAUAGUCCCGAUACCAAAGAAAGAUGGAAAAGUACGAAUGUGCGUGGAUUACUGUGACCUGAAUCGAGCAAGCCCAAAAUAUAAUUUUCCCUUGCCACAUAUUGACACGUUGGUGGACAACACAGCAAAACAUUCAUUGUUUUCUUUCAUGGAUGGAUUCUCGGGGUAUAAUCAGAUCAAGAUGGCCCCUGAGGAUAUGGAGAAAACUACCUUCAUAACAAUGUGAGGAACGUUCUGCUACAAGGUGAUGCCAUUCGGGUUAAAGAAUGCUGGGGCAACAUAUCAGAUGGCUAUGGUGACAUUAUUCCAUGACAUGAUGCAUAAGGAAAUAGAGGUCUACGUCGAUGAUAUGAUUGCUAAAUCUCGAGGAGAAGAAGAACAUGUGAUGAACCUCAAGAAGUUGUUCGAAAGGCUGAGAAAGUUUCAGCUAAAGCUUAAUCCAGCCAAAUGUACAUUCGGGGCUACCUCGGGAAAAUUACUAGGCUUCAUUGUUAGUGAAAGAGGUAUCGAAGUUGAUCUAGAUAAAAUAAAAGCCAUCCAAGAAUUACCUCUCCCGCGCACACAAAAGGAAGUCAGGGGAUUUUUAGGGAGGUUGAAUUACAUUGCUCGAUUCAUUGCUCAACUUACCAACCAAUGCGACCCAAUUUUUCGACUCCUUCGAAAACAUAACCCGGGAGAAUGGAACGAGGAGUGCCAAGUGGCCUUCGAUAAGAUAAAACGAUAUCUGUCUAAUCCUCCUGUGCUAGUACCACUGACCCUUGGAAAACCCUUAAUUUUGUACCUGACCGUGUUUGAAAACUCAAUGGGUUGCGUACUGGGGCAACAUGAUGAGUCAGGGAGAAAAGAAAAGGCAAUCUACUACCUUAGCAAAAAGUUCACUGAAUAUGAGGCAAAAUAUUCGUCCAUUGAGAAAUAUUGUUGCGCUCUGGUUUGGGUAGCUCGGAGACUCAGACAAUAUAUGUUGUAUCACACGACAUGGCUAAUUUCAAAGCUGGACCCAAUAAAAUACAUGAUGGAACCGCCGGCACUAUCAGGAAGAAUGGCACGAUGGCAGAUCCUCCUUUCGGAAUAUGACAUUGCCUAUGUAAGUCAGAAGUCGAUAAAAGGGAGCGCAAUAGCUGACUUCUUAGCAACUCGAACGACAGAGGAAUAUGAGCCUUUAAGAUUCGAUUUCCCAGACGAAGACUUAAUGUGCAUCACAAAAAUAGAAUCCGAGUCAUCAAAAGAGAAGUCAUGGAAGAUGUGCUUUGAUGGUGCGUCAAAUGCUUUAGGGCAUGGAAUUGGAGCAAUCCUGGUAUCACCAGACGGGAAUCAUUAUCCGUUCACUGCAAGACUGAACUUCUUCUGUACCAAUAAUAUCGCAGAAUAUAAGGCCUGUAUCAUGGGGCUUCGUGUAGCUAUCGAACGAAACAUCGAGAUCUUGGAGGUGUACGGGGACUCAGCCCUAGUGAUUUACCAAAUGCAUGGAGAAUGGGAAGUGAGGGACACAAAAUUGAUUAAGUACAGCGAUUUAGUGGCUGGAUUGAUCAAGGAAUUCAAAGAAAUAACUUUUCAUUACUUCCCACGAGAAGAGAACCAACUGGCUGAUGCCCUAGCCACUUUGGCUUCAAUGUUCAAAGCAAGUAGAGAAGCAGAAAUAAUGCCCCUCAAAAUGAGCAUAUACGAGGUCCUUGCACACUGUUGUAGCAUUGAGAAAGAAGUAGACGGACGGCCUUGGUUCCAUGAUAUCUUAGAAUAUACCAAGAAUCAAAGGUAUCCCGAACAAGCGAAUGAGAACGAUAAAAGAACAAUUAGAAGAAUGGCAGCGGGAUUUGUUCUUGAUGGGGAUAUCCUGUAUAAAAGAGGAAAGGAUCAGAUGCUUUUGAGAUGUGUGGAUGAUGUUGAAGCCAGAAGAAUACUUGAAGAGGUCCAUGAGGGAAUUUGCGGAACGCAUGCCAAUGGUUUCAAUAUGGCCAGAAAGAUCAUGAGACUCGGUUAUUAUUGGCUGACAAUGGAAAGUGACUGCAUCAAUUUUGCCAGAAAAUGCCACAAAUGUCAAAUCUACGGCGAUAAAAUUUAUGUAGCCCCUUCACCCCUUCAUGUCAUGACUUCUCCGUGGCCUUUUUCUAUGUGGGGCAUGGAUGUCAUAGGGCCAAUUUCUCCAAAAGCUUCAAAUGGACAUCGAUUCAUUUUUGUGGUUAUCGAUUACUUCACAAAAUGGAUUGAAGCCGCUUCGUUUGCCAAUGUGACGAAGACUGCAGUGUGCAAGUUUUUGAAAAAAGAAAUCAUUUGCCGAUAUGGUUUGCCUGAAAGAAUCAUCUCAGAUAAUGCCACGAAUCUGAACAAUAAGAUGAUGAAAGAAGUGUGCGAGCAGUUCCAAAUAAAGCAUCAUAAUUCCUCGCCCUAUCGCCCAAAGAUGAACGGGGCUGUUGAAGCAGCUAACAAGAACAUUAAGAGGAUCAUUGGGAAAAUGACUGAGACAUAUAAAGAUUGGCACGAGAAACUUCCAUUUGCUUUGUUUGCAUAUCACACAUCUGUGCGAACAUCUACGGGAGCAACUCCUUUCUCUCUAGUCUAUGGAAUGGAAGCUGUGCUACCUAUCGAGGUUGAGAUCCCCUCUCUGCGAGUAUUGAUGGAAUCAAAGUUAGAAGAAGCAGAAUGGGUUCGAGCUCGAUAUGAUCAGUUGAACCUCAUUGAAGAAAAACGUCUAAGGGCAAUUUGUCAUGGGCAAAUGUACCAAAAGAGAAUGAUCGCAGCCCAUGACAAGAAGAUACGACCAAGAGAGUUCCAUGAAGGAGAACUCGUUCUAAGAAAGAUUCUCCCAAUACAAAAAGACCUGCGAGGAAAAUGGGCACCAAAUUGGGAAGGACCAUACGUUGUAAAAAAGGCAUUCUCAGGAGGAGCUUUAAUCCUUACCGAGAUGGAUGGGAAGGAGUUACCGAAUCCAGUGAAUUCAGAUGCGGUGAAGAAAUAUUAUGCUUAAGAUGAAAACCCGAAAAGGGCAUCUUAAAAAAAAAGAAAAAAAAGAUCAGGGCGAAAACCCGAAAAGGGCGUCUUGAUUAGUACAAAAAGAUUAGGAUGAAAACCCGAGAGGGCGUCCUAAUGAAACAAACCUGGCGGUCGAACGAUAGGUCAAGUAGUGAGACUACAGUAUUUGAAGCACUUCUGAAAGCUCGAAAUUUUCUACGCAAGAAGCCACGCUCGAAAGGAUUAUUGAUUGAGGAACGUGGAAGAGUUCAUGUGUUGAAUAUCUAGAGCAUUUGUAUCCGUUGAAUACGACCUUUUCUUUCUUUUUGACAUUUUUACUCUUAUUGGUUAACUUUCGUUGUUUGCCACAUUUAAAAUAAAGGAAUAUGAGAUAUCCUUUUUGUCCCUACCUGACCAUUUUCAUGCAUCUCAUUAUGUGUUUAUUUAAUGAUAAAUAGUGAAAUGACAUGCUCUAAACAAAAGAAAUGUUAACCAUUACCUGGAUGAAAAUUUGAUAAGCACAAGAGUCUCAAAGUAAGAACAAAGUUCAAUCGGGGGCAGAAGAGUGAUAUCUGAGAAACGUCGAUUACUCGUGAAGCUUGAAGACAUGCAUAAGGCCUGAAGAGAAGGUCGAGAAUCAAAGCAAUGAACGCAGAUCCUCAACAAUCAUGGCGAAAAUGACAUACGACCAAUAUGCUUAAAGAGCACUGCAUAAUCAUGUAGGCAUAAAGGCAUUUAAGACAAACAUGUGCAUAUCAUGAUGACAUCAUGCAUGGCAUAUACAGGUAAUCCAGUAAAGCAAGAAAUCUUGAAUGAGAGUCGCACUGAAUCAAAGGAAAAGAUACCCGAGUUCUACCAAAGGACUGGUUUUGGUAUUUUGAUGUUUAAUAUUCAUGCUUUCCAAGGAAAAUCAACUCAUAUUGCGAGAGAUGAGUUGAGCCUCAAGACACGUUGGGGUAUUCUUAAAUUUUUUUAAAUCAACUCAUAUUGCGAGAAGUGAGUUGAGCCUCGGGGCAUGCCGAGGUAUUUUUAGUUUAUGUUUUAAAUUGACUCAUAUUGCGAGAGGUGAGUUAAGCCUUUUAAUUUUACUUUUUACAAAAUCAGCUCAUAUUGCUAGAGGUGAGUUGAGCCUCGAGGCACGCUGAGGUAUUUUCAAUUUUUUGUGUGUUUUAAUUUCAACUCAUAAUGCGAGAGGUGAGUUGAGCCUCGGGUCACAUUCCGAGGUAUUUUCAAAAUCUGUUUGGCAAAUUCUGUGUUCAAAAAUCAACUCAUAUUGCGAGAGGUGGGUUGAACCUUUUAAUUUCUACUUUUUCAAAAUCAACUCAUAUUGCUAGAGGUGAGUUGAGCCUCAGGACACGCUGAGAUAAUUUCAAUUUCUGUUGUCAAAAAAAUCAACUCAUAUUGCGAGAGGUGAGUUGAGCCUCAAGACACAUUGAGGUAUUUUCAAUUUCUGCUUUUCAAGAAAAUCAACUCAUAUUGCGAGAGAUGAGUUGAGCCUCAAGACACGUUGAGGUAUUUUCAAUUUCUGUUCAAUUUAUGUUUUUCAAAAAUCAACUCAUAUUGCGAGAGGUGAGUUGAGCCUCGGGGCACGCCGAGGUAUUUUCAAAUUCUACUUUCAAAAAAAUCAACUCAUAUUGCGAGAGGUGGGUUGAACCUUUUAAUUUCUACCUUUUCAAAAUUCAACUCAUAUUGCGAGAAAUGAGUUGAGCCUCGGGACACGCCGAGGUAAUUUCAAUUUCUGUUGUCAAAAAAAAAUCAACUCAUAUUGCAAAAAGUGAGUUGAGCCUCGGUUCACAUGUUGAGAUAUCUUUAGUUUUUGUUUUUAAUGUCUGUUUUUAAAGAGUCAAUUCAUAUUGCGAGAAAUGAGUUGGGCUCAAGAUCACAUGCCAAGUAAGAAUAAAGAUUGAAGCUGAUGAAAGACACCAGACUUGGUCUCCCUGAAGUUGCAGUGGAGCCGGUCAAAAGUUGCAAGUCUUGUCUCCCUGAGGUCGCAGUGGAACUGAUCGAGGAUAUCAAAUCUUGUCUCGCUAGAGUUACAGAAGAGAAGAUCACGAAUCUCAUCUCACUGAAGCGAUAAAAGAGCAGAUUGAAGCUUAGAUCUUAUCUUUAUGAAGCUACAUGGAAGCAGAUUAAAGCCACAAAUCUCAUAUCCUUGAAGUUACAUUGGAGUAGAUCGAAGCUACAAGGUAUAUGUCAGAAGAUGUGGUGGAUUGAAUCUAAAGCUACAAGAUGCAGUGGACUGGAAGAAGAUUAUCUGAACUAGAAGAGCACCAAUGAAGUCAAGACUCAACAAGACGGGACAAAAUUGGCCUUUUAUUUUGUCUUUGCUCUAUUUUCGUUACACGACAAUGAGCAAAGAGGGGCAGCUGUAGUAGGCCAAUUUUGGCCCACUAAUACCAAGCCCAUUUACCCCUCUUACAACCAACAAACCAAAUCCCCUAGCCCAAAUACCACCAGCCCAAUACUCAACUAGCCCAACAAAAAAAAAAGAGAAACAGACAACAAGAAACCCUAAACUCCCACUUGCCUCUUUCCACUCUCCCAUGCUGUCUGCCACCAGCACCACUCCCACUCUCCCAUGCUGUCUGCCACCAGCACCAUCACACACCCCCAUACCGUCUACCACCACCAUGCCUUUGCCGCACCUGCAAACAAGCAAAGGAAAAGGACAAAAAAUGGAGCAAUAAACAGUAACAUAAUAUUGUAUUUUUGGCUAUAAAGCCACAAGCAAAAUCGAACUUAGGGGGGAAUUUUUAAGUAAAAAAAGAGAGAAAUAAUUUCAAUACACAAGCAGUGAUAAAAUAAUAGAGGAACUACAAGAUCGAAAAUCGAAAUCAAAAAAAAGAAGGUGACUUUAAAUUUUAUUGAAUCGGCUUCAUAUUUUUCUAUUUUCUUUUCUUUGUCAUUUUCUACUCAUAUUUAUACACAUAUAUAGUGCAAAAAUAUAAAACAUAUAAAAAUAUAAAAAUAAAUAAAUUUUUACCUUUCCGGCCACCGCACGCCGGCGCCGGCGAGGCUCCGGUGGCCGUCCGGUGACCGACCCCCGUGGCUGGAGCUCUCCCCUCCCCUCUCUUCCUUCCCCGCUCCCUCUUUUCUCUCCCUCCUCUUCCCUUUUUUUUUCCUUUCUUCUGUUUCAAAUGAAAAAAAUAAAAAUUUUUAACUUAUAUAGGGGACCAAAACGGUGCGUUUUGGUCCUCCCCCUUUAACCCUUAAAACGGCGCCGUUUAGGCCCAGGGUCGGGUCGACCCGACCCGCACCAAGGAGGAUCCGCGUGUUUUUCUUUGGAAGGGCUAAUUGCACUUUUAGCCCUUCCACUUUUCUGGGAGUUUACAAUCAAGGUUUUUUUAUUUUUAAUUUGGCCCCAUGGUUUUGCCCCGAAUUCAUUCUGGUCCCUCACUAAACGCUGCGUUUCGAGAGGACGGGAUAUUUUCACUUUUAAUCCCUCCCGUGUUUUAGCGUGUUCCAAUUGGUCCUUCUCUUUUAUAUAUUUCUUUUUAAAAUUGCCCCUAACCUUUUUAUUUCGAUUUUCAUCCUUUUUUUUACUUUUCCUCAUUAUUUUAUUUUAAUUUCAAUAUUAUUUAUACUAAUAUAUUCUAUUAAUGUUAUUAUUAUUAUAUUUUUAGUAUUUUAUUGUUGUUAUUCUACUUAAUACUAACCUGUAUAUGUUAUUUAAUAUUAUUAAGGGUUUAAUAUCAUUAUCUUGUUAAUAUAUUUGUAUAUCACCUAUGCAUUCUUUAAAUAUAUAUACAUUUACGCAUAUAUCCUAAAAUUAUAUUACACAUAUUUGUUUUAUAUAUAUAUAUAUAUUUAUCUACGUAUAUUAUGUCUCUAUUUUAAUAUAUUUUACAUAUAGUAUUUAUAUAUAGUUCUUAUACAUUUCCNNNNNNNNNNNNNNNNNNNNNNNNNNNNNNNNNNNNNNNNNNNNNNNNNNNNNNNNNNNNNNNNNNNNNNNNNNNNNNNNNNNNNNNNNNNNNNNNNNNNNNNNNNNNNNNNNNNNNNNNNNNNNNNNNNNNNNNNNNNNNNNNNNNNNNNNNNNNNNNNNNNNNNNNNNNNNNNNNNNNNNNNNNNNNNNNNNNNNNNNNNNNNNNNNNNNNNNNNNNNNNNNNNNNNNNNNNNNNNNNNNNNNNNNNNNNNNNNNNNNNNNNNNNNNNNNNNNNNNNNNNNNNNNNNNNNNNNNNNNNNNNNNNNNNNNNNNNNNNNNNNNNNNNNNNNNNNNNNNNNNNNNNNNNNNNNNNNNNNNNNNNNNNNNNNNNNNNNNNNNNNNNNNNNNNNNNNNNNNNNNNNNNNNNNNNNNNNNNNNNNNNNNNNNNNNNNNNNNNNNNNNNNNNNNNNNNNNNNNNNNNNNNNNNNNNNNNNNNNNNNNNNNNNNNNNNNNNNNNNNUUGUCUCCCUGAGGUCGCAGUGGAACUGAUCGAGGAUAUCAAAUCUUGUCUCGCUAGAGUUACAGAAGAGAAGAUCACGAAUCUCAUCUCACUGAAGCGAUAAAAGAGCAGAUUGAAGCUUAGAUCUUAUCUUUAUGAAGCUACAUGGAAGCAGAUUAAAGCCACAAAUCUCAUAUCCUUGAAGUUACAUUGGAGUAGAUCGAAGCUACAAGGUAUAUGUCAGAAGAUGUGGUGGAUUGAAUCUAAAGCUACAAGAUGCAGUGGACUGGAAGAAGAUUAUCUGAACUAGAAGAGCACCAAUGAAGUCAAGACUCAACAAGACGGGACAAAAUUGGCCUUUUAUUUUGUCUUUGCUCUAUUUUCGUUACACGACAAUGAGCAAAGAGGGGCAGCUGUAGUAGGCCAAUUUUGGCCCACUAAUACCAAGCCCAUUUACCCCUCUUACAACCAACAAACCAAAUCCCCUAGCCCAAAUACCACCAGCCCAAUACUCAACUAGCCCAACAAAAAAAAAGAGAAACAGACAACAAGAAACCCUAAACUCCCACUUGCCUCUUUCCACUCUCCCAUGCUGUCUGCCACCAGCACCACUCCCACUCUCCCAUGCUGUCUGCCACCAGCACCAUCACACACCCCCAUACCGUCUACCACCACCAUGCCUUUGCCGCACCUGCAAACAAGCAAAGGAAAAGGACAAAAAAUGGAGCAAUAAACAGUAACAUAAUAUUGUAUUUUUGGCUAUAAAAGCCACAAGCAAAAUCGAACUUAGGGGGGAAUUUUUAAGUAAAAAAAGAGAGAAAUAAUUUCAAUACACAAGCAGUGAUAAAAUAAUAGAGGAACUACAAGAUCGAAAAUCGAAAUCAAAAAAAAGAAGGUGACUUUAAAUUUUUAUUGAAUCGGCUUCAUAUUUUUCUAUUUUCUUUUCUUUGUCAUUUUCUACUCAUAUUUAUACACAUAUAUAGUGCAAAAAUAUAAAACAUAUAAAAAUAUAAAAAUAAAUAAAUUUUUACCUUUCCGGCCACCGCACGCCGGCGCCGGCGAGGCUCCGGUGGCCGUCCGGUGACCGACCCCCGUGGCUGGAGCUCUCCCCUCCCCUCUCUUCCUUCCCCGCUCCCUCUUUUCUCUCCCUCCUCUUCCCUUUUUUUUUCCUUUCUUCUGUUUCAAAUGAAAAAAAUAAAAAUUUUUAACUUAUAUAGGGGACCAAAACGGUGCGUUUUGGUCCUCCCCCUUUAACCCUUAAAACGGCGCCGUUUAGGCCCAGGGUCGGGUCGACCCGACCCGCACCAAGGAGGAUCCGCGUGUUUUUCUUUGGAAGGGCUAAUUGCACUUUUAGCCCUUCCACUUUUCUGGGAGUUUACAAUCAAGGUUUUUUUAUUUUUAAUUUGGCCCCAUGGUUUUGCCCCGAAUUCAUUCUGGUCCCUCACUAAACGCUGCGUUUCGAGAGGACGGGAUAUUUUCACUUUUAAUCCCUCCCGUGUUUUAGCGUGUUCCAAUUGGUCCUUCUCUUUUAUAUAUUUCUUUUUAAAAUUGCCCCUAACCUUUUUUAUUUCGAUUUUCAUCCUUUUUUUUACUUUUCCUCAUUAUUUUAUUUUAAUUUCAAUAUUAUUUAUACUAAUAUAUUCUAUUAAUGUUAUUAUUAUUAUAUUUUUAGUAUUUUAUUGUUGUUAUUCUACUUAAUACUAACCUGUAUAUGUUAUUUAAUAUUAUUAAGGGUUUAAUAUCAUUAUCUUGUUAAUAUAUUUGUAUAUCACCUAUGCAUUCUUUAAAUAUAUAUACAUUUACGCAUAUAUCCUAAAAUUAUAUUACACAUAUUUGUUUUAUAUAUAUAUAUAUAUUUAUCUACGUAUAUUAUGUCUCUAUUUUAAUAUAUUUUACAUAUAGUAUUUAUAUAUAGUUCUUAUACAUUUCCAAGUACAUAUUUCUAUACCAUCUUAUGUAUAUAUUUUUAAAUAUUAUAUUGUAUAUGUAUAUAUAUUUUUUCUUAGUACCACAUCACGUAUAUAUCACGUAUAUAUUUAUUUUUACCCAUAUUGUAUUUGUUAUUAAUUUUAAUACAUUUAUUUUAUCAUACGUAUAUAUACCUUCCUUAUUUGUAUCAUUUGUGUAUGUCAUAUUAUUGAUUUUGUAUUUAUUAUUUUCCCUAUUGCUACUUAUUAUAUUAUUAUUUGGUGUACAUACAUCUUACUAUUAUUAGUAUAAAUGUAUUUUCCUUGUCCAUAGUAUUCCUAAUAUUAUUGUAUAUGUUCAAUUAUACUAUGUGUACUUGUAUCUAGUACGUAUAUAUUUAGUAAUAUUGCACAUAUAUGUCUAUUAGGCAUUAUAUUUUCAUACAUCAUGUAUAUAUGUCACAUAUUAUAUUUUUGCAUAUUUAUAUGUUACCUUAUAUUAUUAUUACUAAAUGUACUUUAUAUUUAUUCAUGUUUGGUUUUAUUUCUCUUUUAAAUAUUAUUAUUACUGUUUUGCUACUGCUCUAGUAUUAUGUUAACUUUUUUCAUUGAUAAUGUCAUUGUUUGCUUCUUUGAUUUAUUCUUAUUUCAUGAAUAUCUUUUAUGUUUUAAUUACUAAUCGAGGCAAUAUAUCGAUUUAACAUUAAGUCGUAAAUCUCAUCGCUAUGUUGGAUGGAAUUUGUCGGCUCAUGUUAAAAUGGUAUAUCCUUCUCAAAAAUCAAAAAUUGAAAGUUCUCGUCUUUUAAAUCGGAUCACGAUUGGAAUUUAAAUUGAACUAGCCUUUUUGAAAAUUAAGACAACACAUGUUUAAAAGAUACCAAGUUUGGGCGUCGCGAGGGUGCUAAUACCUUCCUCGCGCGUAACUGACUCCCGAGCCCUACUUUGUCUCUGAUUUUAACGUAGACCUAAACUCGGCCUUCUUUUGUUUUAAAAAAUAAAUUUAUUAGGUGUCCGAUCACACCUAGGAAAAAGGAUCGGUGGAGACUCCCUCUUUAUUUUAAAAUCGAACUUCAGUUUCCAAACUUUUUCACUAGAUUGCCACAAUUAGUGACCCGAAACCAAAAUUUUUACGUCGCUACAAUGUGUAUUCAUAUAUGAAUGAGUAUAUUCGGCCAAUGGUAUAUAAGUGAUCUUAGAAGUGAAAAAUAAUUAUGAUAUUAACUACAUGUGUAUUCAAUCUAAUUAGAUUUGAUGCGUAGUUAUAUGUUUGUUAAAUGCAUUUUUGCAAGUUUGAAAAUGUAUAUGAAUAUGAUAUAAUGAUUCGAUUUUGUUAUAAUGAAUUAUAAAUGUUAGUAAGUUAUUUAUUUGCUUAUGACUUACUAAGCUAUGAUAGCUUACUGUGUGUGUAUGUUUACCUCUGUUUUAUAGAUUUUGGAGUCUAGCUACGAGCUCAAGGAUCGUCAGCAAAGUCUAUCACACUAUCGACUGUGUUUUCGGUACUUUAUAAGUUUGAAAUUGAACCUAUGGCAUGUAUAGGCUAAAUUAUAUUUGGCUAAGUUUGAAGUUGUGUAUAUAUAUAUUAAGCCAUACGAAAAUGGCUAAUAUGUUAUGUAGGCAUAUGAAAUUUUAGUUAAGUUUAUAUGUGUCAUAUGCAUUGAAAAUGGUUGGUGGUUUUGGAUGUGGUUUGUUUGAAUCGGCCAUGGUAUAUACAUAAGUAUGAAUUAUGCUUGUUAUGUUACUCAUGGUUAAAAUGAUUCGGUUAUGUCUUGUAUUUGAUAGUAAUGGUUUAAUUUGGUUGACGAGUGUAUUCGGCAAAAUGUUGAAUUUAGGUAAUGAAUAUAUUUGAUUGAUGAUUCGGCACUUACAUAAAUAUUUUUAGGCAUAUGAUGAAUUGGUUUGAUAUAUAUAAUCUCAAGGUAUAUAUGUUUGAGGUGUUGGUUAUAUGUUUCGGUAAUAAGAAACGUUAAGUAUGAUUUUAUAAUUUGGCUUAGUAAGAGGUAAAAUAAUGAGUAUAUAUAUUGUAUGUGAAAUGGCUAUAUAGAUUUGUUUGUUAAUUGACAAUUAAUGAAUGUGUACAAGUUAAUUUUUCUAGUCAAAUAGAUAAGAGAAGAAUUGGUCUUGUAUAUGAUAUUUUGGUAUGAUGUAUAACAUGUGAAAUCGACAUGUUUUGAUUUGGCAUUAAUAUUUAUAAAUUUGGUUUAUUAAGUCAUAUAGAAACAUUUGUAUGUGUAUUAAUGACCGAAUAGAUAAUGUUUGAAUGGUUAGUAUUAUGCAUAUAAAUUUUAGUAUGUUUUGAUUUGAUAAUUAUGUUAAAAAAUGGUCAUGGUAAUAUGCGCAUGAAUUUGCAAUGUAAAAGAAGUAUAUUUGGCCAUGUUGUAAAGCUAGCUAUUAUCUUUUAUGAUAAUGAAUAUUAUGCCAUGAUAUAAGGUGAUAUGGUAUAAUAUACGAAUGUACAUUGAUUAUGUUUUCAAAAGCCAAUGCUGCAUAUAUUAUUAUUAAAUAAAUUUUGUUAUUUGGUAUGUUUGGUUAUUAAGCACAUGUAUAUCAUUGAGAUAUUAAAUGCUGAAAUUUUCUGAGGUAAAAAGCAUGAAUUUAGAGAAAAUUUUUAUCUAACCGAAAUAUGUAUUAUAUUACUUAAUUUACAUUUAAAUUAUUAUUACAAUAUUAAGGUUAUAUUUUUUAAAAUUUUAUCAAAAUAUUUCGUCAUAAUAAGAUUAUUAUUAACCAUAUAUAUUUACAUUAUUAGUAUUAAGCUACCAUUUUUGGUUUUUAGUUUAUACAAAAGCUACUUAUGUCGAUAGUCCCUUCCGGCUCUUAAAUCAAAUAAAAAGAUAAGUAUGUCUGGAACCAAGCCUUAUUUAUUGCUGCAGUAGUAAUGAUGCUAGCAGAGCUAAAUCUUAAUUAGCAAUAUUUUUUAUUUUAUAUAUUAUAAAGAUAAUGCUUAUUAUUAAGUUUAUUGUAAUUCUCAGUAAAUUAAUUUACAUAAUUUUGUAGUAAUUAAAACUAAUAUCUCUCGUAUCUUGACUUGAAUGAAGCAGUGAUCAAAGUUCUUAUUAGACAUCUAUUUGAUAAAAAAUUCAAACCAAGUCAUUCUCAUCUCCUAUCUCUAAUAUUGUAUGAAAAAAAAAACUAAUAUAUCUUAUUAUUAAAUACUUAUUACUUUCACAAACCAACAUAUUUUGACUAAAACUUGUUCACCAUUUAAAAAAAAUUAAAUAUGUUCUUCCUUCUUAGUUUUCAUUUUUUUUUACAUAAUCAUCUUGGUGAUUUGAUUCACUAUCCUAACAUAAUGUUUUAACUUUAUUCAAUGAGCUUAUUUUGGAAUACGACAAAUUAAAUGAACCGCCAUCUUAUUCAAUCCAUACACAAAUUACACAAAACAAUAGAGUUAGUAACCUACAUUUAUAUUUUUAUUUUAAGAUUUCAAAUUUCUUAUGUAAUAACACAAAUUUAUCCGGGCCCAACAAGACUCAAAAACAAAAACAAAAGAAGACUAAUUAAAAUUACAGCCCAAAAAUAUAUAAAGUAAACUAAUGGCCCAGUGGCCCAAAAUUAACUCAAACCCUAAUCCUAGGGUUUCCUUGUUCGCCGCUGCCUUCACAUGCUGGAUCAGCGCGCUCGCCGCCCGAAAACCACCGCCCCUGGUACUGCUUGCACCAAAAUAGCAGCUCCUGCCUCGUUGACUUUGCCUGCAAAAAAAGAAGGAACAUAAACAACGACAAAAAAGGCAACAAAGAAACGAAAGCAGAAAAAGCAACAGUCGCAGAGAAACAGUAAACUAGAACAGCAUGAAUAGUGAUUAAAUAAUAGUUGGCUUGUAAAUCGGCUAUAUAAGCCUAGCAACCAGAUAUUGUAAAGGGACAGACAAUUUUAGCAAUAAAAAAAAAACAAGAAAGGUUGAACUUCAUUCUCUGGUCUCUUUAUUUUCGCCUCUUUCUUUAUUUAUUUUCCUUUUCUCUUAAAUCAGUUUUGAAACACAAAAAAAAUAAAGAAAAAAGGGACUCACCUGAACCCCGAAGUCGCGAGGACGGGGCUCUUACUCCGUCGUGAAAUCGCCUCCAAAGGGGAAAACGGGGGUCCCUUCUUUCACGCUUUUGAGGUUAAAAGAACAUGGUAUUCGGGUGCUUUAAAAACCAGGGUUAAAAACCCCUUUUUGCGCAACUCCGAUCGCCCUCUACGGCGACAUGACGGCGGCGGCUACGAUGGGUUCUCUAACCCUAGCAAAGAAAGAAUAUGAAAAGGGGGAGGGGUGUUUUGAAAUUUUUGAGGGAAAAUGAAACAAAAAUGAAGAUUUUUUACUUAAGUAAUAAAACAGUGCCGUUUUGCACCUGGAGCACCAACGCCCAAACGGCGUCGUUUAGACCACGCCCGUGCACAACCCGACCCGCUCUAUGGGGGUCCGCGCGUUUCCUUUAAAUGGGAAAUUUCCUGCUUUAGUCCCUUCGACUUUUCUGUCCUUUUCGUUUAAUCCCAUAUAGCUUUGUUUCUUUUUCUUUAAAUUUCGCCCUUUUAUUUUAUUUUUGAUUUGGUCCUUGGCCCAGAUGGAUGAAACGCUGCGCAUAGAAGGCUGGGAAUAUUUUCCCAAUCAGCCUGUAGUUCUUUAUGCGCGUUUCGCCUUGGUCCUUAGUGGCCUAUAUUUAUUUAUUUUAUAAUUUGCAUCUUAAAUUUAAUUCAAUUUCAACUUAGCCUAAUUUAUUUAUUCGUUCACCUAUUUAUCGGUUUAUAUAUACCUAUUGUCCAUUUAUUUAUCAAUGUACAUCACUAGUUUAUGUCAUUGAAAUCAUUCCAUAAUUCCUUUAUUUCUUUUCGAUUUUCGUUUACCUUGGUUAUUAUUAUCUUAUUAUCUAUUAUUGUUUUAUCAUUUAGUCAUUCAUCAUUCUUUUAUUUUUAUUAUUAUUAUUUUUAUAUCAUUUUAUUUCAUGAAUUAUUCAUUCUAUUUAUAUUUUCAUUAUUGUUGGUGGUGGAUUAUUUAUUUUAUUAAUGUUAGUAUGAUUAUACCAUUAAUCUAAUUUUGUUAAUGUUUAAUAUCUAUUUGUUUGUUUAUUCAUUUAUUCAUUAUUAUUUUUAUAGAUUGGAUUUAUUUUUACUUCUACCCUCAUUAUUAUCUUUUUAUCAUAUGUUUGUGUAUAUCUUCUAUACCUUCAAAUGUUAUAUUAUUUAUUUUAUUAUUACUAUUAUUAUUGGCACUAUUUUUGAAUAUAUCAUGUGUUCUAAACUAUCAUCAAUUUUAAACAUUUCACAUAUAUUAUCUCUUCUAAAUCAUCAUAUGUAGUAUUCAUUUUGAAAUUUUUAUAUGUAUCUUUGUACUCUAAAUUAUUAUAUACAUAUAUACACAUACUUUUUACUUAAACAGUUUUUAUACAUUGUUUUAUCUCAAAUUUUUCUUUUUUCCUCAUUUAUUCUAAACGUUUUAUACAUUAUUCAUGUUAAACCAUUUUAUAUAUGUUUUAAGUUUUAUCUGUUAUUUUGUUAUACUAUUUUAUAUGUAAACGAUUUCAAAUUCUUUUAUCAUUUAUCGCAAACCUUUUAUCAUUAUUUACCUUAAGAUUUCAUAUAUAUCACUUAUAUUAAAUUAUUUUACAUACUUCUUAUAUAUUAUAUAUUUUCAAAGUUAUUUUUACAUAUUAUUUAUUUUAAAUUUUUUCCACAUAUGAUUUAUUUUAAAUCUUUGUGUAUAUUAUCUAUUUUAAAGUUUUAUAUGUAUUACUUGGUUUAAAUUAUUUUAUAUGUUAUUUACUUUAAAAUUUCUUAUGUAUUAUUUAUUUUAAAUUUCUUUUUACAUAUUAUUAUUUUGAGCCUCUUAAUAUUUAUUUUAAAUUUCUUUAUAUAUUAUUUUAAACUUGUCUUAUUCUUAUUUAAAUUUGUCUUUAUACAACUUAUUUUAAACUCUCUUAUUUAUUUUAAUUUGUUUUAUUAUUGUUCAUUUUAGGUUUUUUUUUCAUAUAGUAAUUAUUAUAUAUAUAUUACCUAUUUUAAUAUAUAUAUACUCUAUUUUAAAUUGUUUUACAUAUUGUCAAUUUUAAAUCUCCUUUUUCACAUUAUUUAAUCUCAUUAUCAUUUUAAAAUUGUUUUACAUCUUAUUCGUUUUUAUUUGCUUUAUACCUUUUAAAUUAUUAUUAAAUUCAUUUGUCUUUAAUUGUUAAUGUUAAUAUUUAAAUGAUAUACCUUGUGUGAUUAUUGUCAUUAUGUAAAUUUUGAUUCGUUUAUUUCGCAAGUUUGCAUUACUGUUAUUCAUUUGUAUAAUGUAGUGUCCAUGUAUAUUUGUCUUAUAUUCAUUACUAUAUUUUCAUAUCAUCGACCAUGAAUCAAGUCUCGUUACAUUCAUCCAAUAAAUUGUUUUAUUUUUAAUCCAAACGAAUAACGCACUUUAUUAAACAUUAUACUCUCUAUAUUUCACAAAGAAAAUUUUCUAAAUGAGGCAAUGUUUUGUGUUUUGGAAUAUCGAGAAAUUGUGCCCUAAACUUGCGCUCGGGAAUUCAUGAUAUUGUGUCCUAACUUACAGGAUGUGAUACUCCGAUAUCUAGAGACGAGGAAGUCUUUAACGAUUGUUUUGAGCUAAUUCAAGUGUUUUUUUAAUCGACGUCAAUAAAAAAGGAUCGUAUUUUAAAUUCAUUCUCGAUUUUCAACUUUCGACUCUAGGACAAUAACUAAUUAAUUUGGUACCAAUUUUGGGCGUGACGAGGGUGCUAAUCCUUCCUCGCACGUAAUCGACUUCCGAACUCAUUCUCUCGAGUUUCGUAGACCAAAAAACACUGUUUGCAUAAACUAAAACGUUUUAUUAAAACAAAGGUGGUCCGAUCACACCUAAUAAAGAUCGGUGGCGACUCCCGUUUUAAUUUUCAUUUUCAAACAAAGUCGAUUCCCGUUUCCAAAAAAAUAGUUUCGACAUCUUAAUUUACUUUUAAGAUUGAAAAUAUCAAGCUCGUUCUUGAUAUUUUUGGACCCUAAAGGAAAUAAUAAAUCGAAGUUUUAAGUUCCUUAAAAUUUGAAAAAAGUUUGUUGGCCAAUUAAAAACUGAAAAAAAAAAUUACCCAUUUCACCCAGGGCCGGGCCUGAAAAAGAUAUAAAAAAUGCUUGGGAUUUGCUUUUCAUGGAUUAUUGCUGAUGUUUCUAUUGGUUUUCAAGUGUUGAGAGAAUUACAAUAAUAAUGGAAAGUGAGAAAGGAUGGUAUGAAAUAAAGAUAUUAUCUUUUUCCAUUUAAUGUCACAUUAGUAAUUUUAUACUAAAUUUUCAGAUUUUCAUUUGGAUUUGAUUGAUUUUAAGAUGAAAAUGUUAAUGGAGCAUGAAACUAUUGAAAAAGGGGUACAAAUGAAGUGAGGUCCAUGUUUCAUACAAUCGUUUCUCAAAAGAAAAGUUAUGAUGUUCUUUUAAAGGAUAAGUUUUGGUGGUUUUUUUUAAGGUAAGGGGGAAAUUCUUUUUCCCAUUGAUGCUUUUAGUAAUUUAUUUACUUAAUGAUAUGUUAAAGGUUUUUGUUUUCAAAGACUGUAACUUUUUGGUGUCUUCUCCUUUAUGGUGCCUUGCACUUUUAUUAAUAAAAUUUUCUUUAAUGAGAAAAAAAAAACUAUAACAUGGUAAUACAUUACAAAAAUGGAAAUCUCAAGUAUAGGACUCCAUUUAUUAUUUGUAACACUAAUUUAAUACUAAAAUUGGGCUUUUACUUGUCGAUAUCGGUAUGCAUUUAAUUGGAAACCGGUGCUGAAAUAGAAGCAUAGGCGUGGAGCAGUUGGCCGUUGUCGAUGUGCUUUGCUGGGUCAGAAAACGCAUAAAGGAAGAAGUCCAUGAAAUCGAAUUCCUUGAAAAGCUGAGGAUGCUGGUCAUCUAUAAGUUCUUUGGGUGCCUUGAUUAUAGUACCUCAAUUGGAACGACAAAAGCUGCUAUAGAAUAUCGAUUUUUAUCUCCACUCAUCAUCACUCUGUGAUUUACUGAUUUCAUUCUCCCGUUACUCCAUGCCUUCAAUUUCCAAAAUCAAUAUCAAUAAGUAUUUUUUUUAUAAUUAUUCACUUUUAACAUCAAUAAUCUAAUAUCAUUAUAUUUUUUUUUAUCAUGAGCAAAGUAAAAAAGUUAUUCAAAAUAUUGAACUCGAGAUCUUAUGCCAACAUCAGUAAGUAAUUUAUGAUAAUUAUUCACAUUAAAAAUUUGAUCUAAUAUAUAUAUAUUGAGAAGCUAAAAGAAGGGUUGUCCAAAGUUUGAAUCCAAGACUUAAUCAAACUCAAAACUCAAAGAUAGUACCCAAGGGACAAGGCCUUCCCCUACCCUACCCCCCCCCCCCAAAAAAAAAAAAAAUCUCACUUAACUUGAUUUUGACUCUUAUAUUGCUUCUUCUAUUCACAUAGAUCAUUAAUGUUAAGUUUUAAAUAAAUUAAAAGGCUAACAUUAAUCAAAUAUAGAAAAAGUACCUUGAGAGGAUCUCCAACAAUAAACACAAAGGAAGAAGGAGAUAAAUUAGUCAAUUUGAUCCAUUGGCCAUCAUUGACCUCAAUUUCUAACCCUGAAAUUUUGUCCUCACAAAUAAGUGUGCUAACUAGUUUAUCAGUAUGAGCAAAGAGUCCUCUCUCAUACUCCCCCGGUGGAGGGGCCAGAUAUUUCAUCAUCCGCACUAAUGUUGUGUAGUUCAUUUUCAGUGAAUCCUCCUGUAAUCCAUAACUAUCAGUUAGCAUUAACCAAAUUAACUUGUUCAGCUCUUCCAUUUGCGUCGUUAGGGUAUGUAUAGUGUCCCUGAAAACAAAAUAUCAAAAUAAAAAUUUAAUAAUUCCAACUCAUUUGAAUCAAAAUUGAUCUGAAAUCAACACAACCUGAAAAAUUAGAAAGGUAAAAGAAUUUUUCUUACGUAAAGCGUGGGUGACCAUUAGGCCACAUAAGUUGAGCAAAGCUUUUAACAGAGUCAUAGUUGGAGGCAUCUCCGACUCCAAAGCCUUCAUACAACACAGAAACCUGCUCGCAUGGUCCAACCCAACCAUGGUAAGGCAAGGGACUAGUGUUCUUCUGUUUCCUCUCCACUGGGACCUCAACUAGUUCUUUCAGCAAUUCAAAUGCAUCCUCUCGGAUUUUUGUUGAUAUCUUUUUGUACACCACAUCGAAACAACCGAAAGUCUCACAAGCC
rnacentral:lncRNA from 1 species